rnacentral:lncRNA from 1 species
GACAAGUGUUGUUGUUGUCAAUUCCCUCAGGUAGAGACUCUAGCUUCUCACAAUUUAUAAUUAUCAGCUUCUUAAGGGUGGCGGGUAGCUCCCCUUUCGGAAAGCCAAUAAGAGAUGGACAAUCUUUAAUUUUCAGGUACUCAAGGGCACAACUAUUUCCAUAUAUUGGGAGUACCUGGUUGAACUUGUUGUAGUUUUAUAAUGUCAUCUAUUUCCAUAUAGGGGAUUUGAGCAAUCUUAGGCUAAUAUUUUCCUUUGUCAUUGAGGCACCUCUCUUUUAGAAUAUGACAUCUCCCCAUUACAACUCUUGCAAGUGUUGGUGGUGGGUCAAUGUGGGUAGCUCACCUUCUAGAAAGCCAAUAAGAGACAUCUUUGAACCCCUAUUAAGACCACCUGCCCAUACCAAAUAAAAAGGGGGAAAAUGAGUAGAAAAAACUCAUAUCAUAUCAAAAACAGAACAAAUUAAAUAAUAAUAAUAAUAAUAAUAAUAAUAAAAUCAUACUUUUUUGUGUCUUAAGGAUGUGAUUCACCAUAAAAUAUCAUGGAAACAUUGAUGAAACUUUAUAUAAUGCAUUACUCCAAAAUCAACGAAGAAUAGUGCAAAAGGUGAUUGUAUUUCUUUCACUUCACAAGAAUGGAACCUUUUAAGCCGUGCUACACAAUAUAUAAUGGGGAAAUUAGUUUAUAAUUAUUAUAAAAAAAUAAAAAUAAUUUUUUUUUUCAAAUUUAGCAAAGGCGUAGAAGCAAAUUUGUCAUAUAAGGAGGGAAACAUGAUCUCUGCUCAUUCCCCUAUUAAGAGAAAAUAUGAAUCUUUCAAUGGAUGAAUAUGUCCUUUCUCUAUUCUUCUUGCAAUAAGGGUUGAAGCUUAGGACUCAUUCAGCCUCACACCAUCGCAAUUCUUUUAUGUGGAAAAGGACUGAAAUAGGAUAUUCUCCAUUGACCAAAUGUGAAGCAAAAAAGAAGAUAAGAAACAGAAGACAAAGUACAAUUAGGAGACAAGAAUUUACCAACUCAUUUACAAAAAUACUUAGAAACUCCCCAAUUAUACCAGCUCUCUGUAACUUCAUCAAUGCAUUUGUGAAAUGCUAAUCUGGAAAUAAAUUAUAUAACAUAAGGAGUGGAAAAUUAUAAAUCAGACACCAACACAUAAAUAUGUGUUUGUGUAUACCAUCUUAAUGGAAAGAAAAACUAUUUACUUGUGGCCCCCUAUGCUUGCCAAGAUUUAGCUUAUUUAAUAUAGUCAGAAUCUGGUGUAUGAACCUCAUCCACGUCUUCAACACCUGAAGAAUAACCCUAAUGCAACAAUAAUUACAGAUUGCAUAAGUACAGAAUGCAAAGAGAAGUGAAAAUCAAGGGUAUAUGGAUUCUUUAUAGAUUAAUAUUCAAGGAAUAAAUUCUGAUUAUAUAUGUAUAUAUAUAAAUUGAAGCACUAAAUGAAAAGCACUAAUAACAUAACUAUUUGUCAUGUAUAUUGACAAAGAACAUGCAGGUGCAGCCAAACACAUGACAAAGAAUGGAAAAGAAGUAGGAAGAAUCUGAAAAAGCUUUAGAGUCAAAGCAAUGCUGGAGAUGCCACAUGGGCAGGCCUAAUUGAUUCUACCUCCACUAAAAUUCUUCUCGUUGUUAUCAAGUCCAAAAGAAUACACGUCCUGCUAUUCAAUAACUUUUGCCUUGCAUACUCCUUAAAUUCUACAGAUUAAGAGGAUCCAAGGGUUGUCAUUUCAGUUUCUUUAACUCUUCCCUCUUUUCAAACUCCUCAUAGCAUGGAAAGGAUCCACUCUUCCCUCUCAAGGUUAGGCAAUUUCCUUCCCUUACAGAAAUUAUUUCACCCCUUAUCAAAUCCGUCUUCAGUAAAUUCAUCAGAUUAUUUUUUUAAUUCUACAAUCUUAACAUUCCUACCAUCACAAAUAUUCUUUACAAUUCACCAAUUUCUUGCCAUGAUUCUGGGAGGCAUUUCUAGAGGGUCAUGAGGUUCAAUAUAAAGAGAAAAAAAUAAAAAAUAAAAGAAAAGGUGGGAAGUGGAGGGCAUGAGGUUCAAUCUCAUUUCCCUAUGUUGAUUGACCCAAUAAUUGCCCUCUCUUCAACCCUAAACUGAUUAUGAAAGAGGGCCUUUUAUCCCUAUUAGAUUGGGCAGAUUAAUGCUACAUGAAGUGAGCCUCCAAAUACAAAUGAGACUCCAAAUACAAACUGAUUAUGGAAGAGGGCCUAAGUAAUUAUUUUACAAAGACUAACUAGAGAUAUUAGUGGACUCUCUUCUUCAUCAGUUUGUAACAUGAAUCAUCAGGGUCAAGUCUUUUACUAAUCCACAACCUUCACCUUCUGGUAUCACAUGGGCAGAGCAUGCCCAUUGUAGCAAACAGUGUGAUAAAAAAAAAAAAAAAUUAUGUAGCACUAAGUCAACAGAAUUUUGGUGCAGAAGCCUAAGCAACCAUAUAGAAAUAUGCAAAUGUGAAAGCUAGAAAAACAGUAAUAAAAUAUCACCUUACCUGGCUAGGUUACAAUCAUCAUGUGCCCCAAUUAGGGGAUUUUACCUUCAACAACUUACUUACAAAGACCUUAAUUUGAAAGAUCACAUUUUAAAUCAAUACAAGUGAGAAGAGAGAGAAUAAGAAAGAGAACAACCUGGGAUAUAUGCCCUUUCUCUGCAUCCUGAACUGCUUGACAUACCAGUUGCCAGUAGUAAGGGUCUAGGCCAACAGCAUUUACAAUGUCAUGUAAUUAGUCAAAAAAAAUUAAGUGGAAAAGCAGAAAAAAGGGAAAAAAAUCUCAUCAACAAAGAAAAAGGGAAAAAAGAUGAGAAAGUUGGUCAGUUUAAAAGUUGAAAAAGUUAUACCUCUCCCCCGUUUUGCAAUACAUAUUUCCAAGCUGAUGGCAGAAUCCCAGAAAACCUUGGUGUUUAGUAAGGGAGAAUUUCUGUGUGAAUAAAGUACAAAACAAAAUCAGAUAGAAGGGCUUUAUUAAGAUACUAAGAUGCAAAUUUAGAUUGGAAUGAAAUAGAACUAAAACAAAAUCGGAAAUACCUUCUAUUAAUUAAUGGUAAUUGAAAUAGAAUACUGGCUUUAAGCAAAAUGAAGCACCAGAUAUAAGGCCUCUUGUUGUGGGUUAGGUUCUGCAAGCUUGCCAAGCUGCCCAUCCCUUGGUAGGAAGUGAAGUUGGUGCCACGUUUGAUAGGGCCUUAAAAUUUCUUUUGGACCUGAUUAGCAAAAAAUUGUACACAUGAAACUGGAAUCACAUGUAAACCCCAAGAUUAAAAAAGAAUGGUGCAUUUAUUACAGCUCCUUUCAUGUGUAGGGCAUUUCCCCUUGCAGAUAUGAAUAAGGUGCAUCAAUGGCAGGAAAUUUCCCUUUUAUCUACAUCAAUCCCUUUUCCUGCCAUCCUAUAUGUACAAGACAUCAUUAUUGGAGAUUGAAAGCAAUAUUUUGAGUUGAAAGUGCCAAAUAUCCAGUUAUUAAACUAUGGUAGGAAGGCCUUGCUUAAGAAAAUAAGGAACAAGCUAAGAACACAAUCAAGAGAGGUGAGUUUUUGAGCACAAAACUGUUUUGCUUAUUGUAGGAAAUGAAGUUGGGCCCUAAAACUGACCAUCCAUUGGUAGGAAAUGAAGUUGGUGCCAAAUGUAAUAGGGCCUUAAAACUACUUUUGGACCUGAUUACCAAAAAAAAUUGACAGUGGAGACUGGAAUUGCAAGUGUAAACCCUGAAAUGAAAAAAGAAUGGUGCAUUUAGUACAACUCUUUCAUGUUUAGGAUAUUUCCCCUUGCAAAUAAGCUGCACCAAUGGCCAGAAAUUUUGCUUUCAUCUACAUCAAUGUGCAGCACAAAUUCCAUCAUUAUCAGAAAAUGAAAGCGAUAUUUUUAGUUGAAAAUGGUGAAAAUUGUGUUCUAUCAAAACUUACAAUUCAAUGCAUUAAUAAGUACCUCUGUUUUGGAAGAGGGAAGGGGCCUUCCUUUUGAAAAACUAAGGGCACAUUCAUGAGAGUCGAGGUUUUGAGCACAAAACUCCACAACUUAUUGUGAACAAAAGGGAGACUCAAAUAUUACAGAGAAAGCAGCAAUAAGUAAGUAGAACCUUUGAUGGAAGAUUACAAAGAAUUGGGAGUACCUGAUUGAAGCUGUUAUUGUUGUACAAUCUCAUCUAUUUCCACAUAGGGGAUGUGGCCAAUCUUGGGCCAAUCAUUUCCUUUGCCCUUGAGGCACCUCUUUUUUAGAAUAGGACACUCCCGGAUUACAAGUCUUGCAAGUGUUGGUGGUAGCCCUUCCUUUGGCACAAAAGACCGGAGCUUAGGGCAACUGUAGAAUUCAAGACUUUUANNNNNNNNNNNNNNNNNNNNNNNNNNNNNNNNNNNNNNNNNNNNNNNNNNNNNNNNNNNNNNNNNNNNNNNNNNNNNNNNNNNNNNNNNNNNNNNNNNNNNNNNNNNNNNNNNNNNNNNNNNNNNNNNNNNNNNNNNNNNNNNNNNNNNNNNNNNNNNNNNNNNNNNNNNNNNNNNNNNNNNNNNNNNNNNNNNNNNNNNNNNNNNNNNNNNNNNNNNNNNNNNNNNNNNNNNNNNNNNNNNNNNNNNNNNNNNNNNNNNNNNNNNNNNNNNNNNNNNNNNNNNNNNNNNNNNNNNNNNNNNNNNNNNNNNNNNNNNNNNNNNNNNNNNNNNNNNNNNNNNNNNNNNNNNNNNNNNNNNNNNNNNNNNNNNNNNNNNNNNNNNNNNNNNNNNNNNNNNNNNNNNNNNNNNNNNNNNNNNNNNNNNNNNNNNNNNNNNNNNNNNNNNNNNNNNNNNNNNNNNNNNNNNNNNNNNNNNNNNNNNNNNNNNNNNNNNNNNNNNNNNNNNNNNNNNNNNNNNNNNNNNNNNNNNNNNNNNNNNNNNNNNNNNNNNNNNNNNNNNNNNNNNNNNNNNNNNNNNNNNNNNNNNNNNNNNNNNNNNNNNNNNNNNNNNNNNNNNNNNNNNNNNNNNNNNNNNNNNNNNNNNNNNNNNNNNNNNNNNNNNNNNNNNNNNNNNNNNNNNNNNNNNNNNNNNNNNNNNNNNNNNNNNNNNNNNNNNNNNNNNNNNNNNNNNNNNNNNNNNNNNNNNNNNNNNNNNNNNNNNNNNNNNNNNNNNNNNNNNNNNNNNNNNNNNNNNNNNNNNNNNNNNNNNNNNNNNNNNNNNNNNNNNNNNNNNNNNNNNNNNNNNNNNNNNNNNNNNNNNNNNNNNNNNNNNNNNNNNNNNNNNNNNNNNNNNNNNNNNNNNNNNNNNNNNNNNNNNNNNNNNNNNNNNNNNNNNNNNNNNNNNNNNNNNNNNNNNNNNNNNNNNNNNNNNNNNNNNNNNNNNNNNNNNNNNNNNNNNNNNNNNNNNNNNNNNNNNNNNNNNNNNNNNNNNNNNNNNNNNNNNNNNNNNNNNNNNNNNNNNNNNNNNNNNNNNNNNNNNNNNNNNNNNNNNNNNNNNNNNNNNNNNNNNNNNNNNNNNNNNNNNNNNNNNNNNNNNNNNNNNNNNNNNNNNNNNNNNNNNNNNNNNNNNNNNNNNNNNNNNNNNNNNNNNNNNNNNNNNNNNNNNNNNNNNNNNNNNNNNNNNNNNNNNNNNNNNNNNNNNNNNNNNNNNNNNNNNNNNNNNNNNNNNNNNNNNNUCACUCCAUACCAUAAUUAAGUCUUCAAUAUUUGGUAUCUCCUUCAAAUGACANUACAUUGCAUCUCUUGGAUCCGAAACAUUUUCCAACCCUAAAAUGGCAAGCUCUCCUCGAAGAUUCAACAAGUUCUUCAAUUCUUUUAUUCGUGGCCCAUUAUCUUUGCUUAGAAAAAACUUAGACAAUGUUUGCAAAUUUACCAAGCUUCCAACUUGUGGAGGCAUCUCUUCCAACAUAGUUGAACCACUAAUAUCAAGAUGUCGAAGAUUGGUUAAAUUCAUAAUGCAAAUAGGCAACUUAAUGAGUUCCAUACAAUUGCAUAAUAUCAAUGAUUGUAAAUUGUAGAGACUACUCACUGCUUCAGGUAACCAUUUGAGUUUAGUAUGAGACAAAUUAAGAUACCGUAAAUGCUUCAAAUCAGCAAUCGAAUUUGGCAACUCAUUUAUUUCAUAACCACUCAAAGAGAGCACCCUUAAUUGUAUCAACUUUGGCAACAAGCCAUGAAGCACCUUAGUACUUAAGUAACAUUUCAUCUCAUUAUUUACAGUGACGGGUAAUGCAACAAAUGUUCGUAAUUGCUCCGGUUUAUUAAGGACUUCAAAUUUUUUGAAUACAUCAUACUCGCUACGUAUGAAUGACAAAUGACGAGUCAUUUCAGAAGUUUUAUGUAUAUUCUCUAAAUUGAAGCAUAUUUCUGUAGCAACAUCUUGAGCUAGAUCAUUGAUCAAAUCAUGCAUUAUAAAUUGGGAUUUACUAUUGCUUGAUGGUUGGAAAAAACAUCUAGAUAAUAAUUCAUCAAAAUAAUCAGCACCUAAAUCUUCCAUUUGGCAUUUUUCUUCUUCUGCUUCAUGAAUUAAACCCUCCGCCAUCCAUAAUAAAAUUAGCUCUUUUUGCUCAAAUUUAUAGUCCCUUGGAAACAAUGCACAGUAAGCAAAACAUCUUUUUAGAUGUGAAGGGAGAUGUUGAUAGCUUAAUCUUAGCACUGGGAUAACACCACUCCUAUUCCACAUUUUGCUACUCAGUACAUGUUCCCAUUGAUUCUGUGGUUUGGAGCGUAGAAGCCCACCGAGCACCUUUGCUACUAAGGGCAAGCCACUGCAUUUCUCUAUGAUCCUUGUAUCAAGCAAUCUCAAAUUUGGAUGUUCAUCGAUAUUUUUGUUUUCAAAUGCAUGUUUCACAAAUACAUUCCAACAAUCAUCAUUAGAUAAAGGCUUGAGCAAGUGGUGGUAGUUGUCUGCUCUCAUCAAUGAUGCAACAUUUGUAUGACGUGUCGUUACUACAAUUUUACUUCCUCUAGCCCCCGACUUAAAGGGGGUUUGUAAGUGACUCCAUUGCUCAUAAUUGUUAAUGUUCCACACAUCGUCCAAAACUAGCAAAAACCUUUUUCCAACCAGAAUCUUGCUCAAUGUGAGCUGGAGUUGGUUAAAGUCUUUAAAAUCAUGGAUUUGAUGAGGAGAGAAUGCAUUAAGAAUUGCAUUUNNNNNNNNNNNNNNNNNNNNNNNNNNNNNNNNNNNNNNNNNNNNNNNNNNNNNNNNNNNNNNNNNNUGAAACUAGUACAGCAAGUGGGGAUAAGGCUUCGUACUUACUAGUGUUGGGGGUCUGAGGGCGUCUGCCAUCAACUUGUGUCGCAGUAGCUCGGUGGCGAACUCAUCCAGUACGUCCUCUGCAUCAUAAGCCAAGUCUCUGAGCUGGCAUAGCCAGUUUUUCACUGCAGGCGACGUCAUCUGCUUCAUCUCAGCAUCAUCGAGCACUUCAUUCACAGUCAGCAAAUUGUCCUCCCAUUUCUUGAGUUCAGAAUAGACUUUCUGUUGGCGAGCAAAUUGGAGCAACUCAGAGGAGACUAGCUUUUUCAACAACAAUUCAAGACCAGCAGAAAGAACAACCUCUCCAACAACCUCCAUUGUUUCUUAGUUUUGAGUGAGUUAGGGAGAGAGGUACGAAAGCAAGAGAAGAAGAGGAAAUUGGUCAGGAGGGUGAGACUUGGAGCAACUAAUUGAGAAACUGAAAUAAUUUCGCUAAUUAGGGAAUAAGGGAAUACAAUUUUGGCAGGCGUACACGCAAAGGAAAAAGAUAAAGUGGAAGGGUAGCAGAUGGACUCCUGCUUAAAAGUAGGGGAAGCUCUUAGAAAGGGAAAAAAGCACCACAUUCCAUGCUUAGGAAUGGAGAAAGCAUCUGAAAAAACUAUAAGCGAUUGGAGAAGUUAAUUAAACUACAAAUUUCUUAUUCAAAUAAGUACAGAUCUGUAGAUUAAAUCCGAACUCCUGUGUUGGCACAGACUUGAAUAUCAAUACUUAGAGUAAAAUAAAGAUAGUUCUAUAAUUUCCUUACAGUUUUUUGAGUUUAAAAUUAUUUUUUGAAAAUUAAUAUACUUUUUAACAAAUCUAACACAUUGUGUCCUGCUUGAUUCGGAAUCUACUUGUCUAAUUAGAAAAUUUUGAAAAUUAUAGUUCUAUGUAGAACAUGUUUGAUCUUAAAUUUAUGAUACUAAUUACUUCAGUAUUUUGUUUUCAAAUUAUUUUUAAAAGUGACUAAACUCGUUAAUAAAUCAAAUACAUUAAGUAUUAUUUGAUUUAAAAUUUAUUACUUAGCUAAAAAAUUCAUAAAAUUGUUUUUAAAAAAAAUAAUGCAUUCACCUUCUUUUAUAACCAAAUAAUACAAUCUUAACCCAUUUAUUUGAUGGAUUGAUUUAGUACUAGACAAAAAAAAAAUCAUUAAACCAACAAAAAUUACUUUUUUUUAUUCGUAGGGAUUGGAGAAGUUAGAGCAAGUAAUUGAGAAACUAAAACAAUUUUGCCUAAGGAGUACAAUAUUGUAGGAAGGCCAACACACAAAGGAAAAGGAUGUAGUGGAAAGGUAGCAGAUGGAUUGCUAAGAAGCUAGGGAAGUUCUCAAGAAGGGAGAAAAGCACCUCAUUCCAUGCUUAUGAAUGGAGAAAGCUUCGGAAAAAACUAUCGAGGGAUUGGGUAAGUUUUUCUUUUGUUGGCAUAUGUAAACUUCUGAAGGAGUUAAGCCUCUUCUAAGCCUCUUUUAAGACAUACAUUUCUGUUUGCCCAUGUAUGUUUAACCUUGUUUCUAAAAUCAUUUUAGAGUUAAAAAGAAAAAAUAAGUUUUUUACGUAUAUCUUAAAAAUAAUAAUACUUGGCAAGUUGUUUUUAAACAUAUUUGUCAAAAAGCAAAAAAAGAAAAACACUUUUGGAUAAGUAAAUUUUAGUUGCUUUUAAAAAUAUUUUUUCUAUUUUCAUUUUGUACAAAAAUAAAAAUAAAAAUUGUACACUCAUUUUAUAUUAAUAUCAAUUCAAUUCAAUUCAAUUCAAGUCUUAAUAAAAAUAGAAAAUAAUAAUUAUAUAAUGAAAAAUAAAUAAUUUUUGUAAAAUACCAAUACUAAUAUUAUAAUAAAAUUAUAAGUAAAUUUUUUAAUUAGAAAUGAUAUAAUUUUAAAUAGAUAUAAUAAAAUAUGGAUAUUAAUAUCUUCUUAAAGGUAUAAUUCUUUUUUUUUUUUUUUUGUUAAAAUUGAAUAAUAAUACUUUAGAAAUAAUAAUGGUUAAUAAUAUUUUACUUAAAGUGAAUUUAAAAACAAUAAAGUUCACUUAUAUAUAUAUAUAAAAGUGGUAAAUAUGUUAAGUUUUUGCAUUACCUGUGCGCAUUUAAUAUUUAGCCAUUGUCAAAGUGCUAUGCUAAUAAUUGAGUUAGUUUUUCAAAUUCUCAAUUAUUCUUAAAAAUUAGUAAAUUAAUUAGAGAAUUUAAAACAUUAAUUCUCAUUUGAUUUGGGCUCAAUUAAUUUAACAUAUGUUGACCUAAUAAAAAAAUUUGAGAAGGUAUAGUUAUGCGCAUAUGAGAAACAAUAUAAUUAUUGCUCAUUCUAGACUAAUUUUUAUCUUCCUUUUUUUUUUUAAUUGAUUCUAUUUUUGAAUUUUAAAUUAUUUUAAAAAAUUACUAGACUCAUCUACAAAUCUAAUAUGUUGAGUUUUGCUUAAUUUAGAGUUUCUUUGCCUAACCAGAAAAUUCAUAAAAUUAUAAUUAUAUGUGGAGAAGAAACAACAAAGUUUUUUUGGACUAGUUUUAUGCUAUGAAUUUCUAAUAAUAAUUACGUUAUUAUUUUAUUUUAAAUUAUUUUUAAAAAUUAAUAAACUUGUUAACAAUAUCAAUAUAUUAUGUCUUGUUUAAUUUGGAAGAGAAUUCACUUGUCCAGUUAGAAAAUUUUGAGAAUUAUACUUCUAUGUCAAAGAGUUUGUCCUCAAAUUCCAAUAUUAAUUAGUUUAGUAUUUAAUUUUUAUUUCUUUAUUAAAAAACUACUAAACUUUUUAAUAAAUCUGAUGUAUUAAGUUUUGCUUAAUUUGAAGUAUAUUUUUUUACAUAGAAAAUUCACAUAAAUUUCAUUAUGUGUAAAAGAGAAAUAACAGUCAUUUAAGUACCAAAUCUGGUUCAAGAAUCUUUGAUAAUAAUUUUUGGUGUUUGAGUUCUAAUUUUCUUUAACACUUGUUAAUAGAUCUAACACAUCGAGUCUUAUUGGAUUUUGAUUCUAUUUGCUUAAUGAAAAACCUUAUAAAUUUUGGUUUAUAGUUAGAUGUAAAGGAGAAAACAAACAAAGUCAUUCAGAAUCAAUUUUGGUCGACUUUCUAGUAUUAAUUGGAUCAAUUUUUUUAGUUUCAUGACUUUUUAGUAUUAAUUAGAUUGGUUAAUUUUAAAUUAUAAAUUAUUUUUAAAAAUUGUCAAAUCCUAUGCAUUAAGUCUCAUUAGAUUUGGAAUUUGUUACACACUCCUUCGACUAUGGUUGAACUAGGCAUCACAGUUUUCCAAUAGAUUAGGGAGAGAGAGAGAGAGAGAGAGAAUGAUGAGAAAAGGUUGGGUUGCUUAGGUCGACCCUUUUGAGAUGAUCAAGUUUGUCAUGGAUUAAAGUAGGAAUAAGAGAUAUGAGAUAGAGUUCACUGUGUGUACUUUUUCUAAAAUAUGGUCUUUUUCUUGUAGUUACCUUUUGAUAGAUUGAUUAUGGGAAGACUAUAAAUGAGAUGUUCGUUAGGUAUUAUUUGAAAUGAUUUCUAUUAUGUUCAUCUUUAAGGCUUUAAUCAUUAUGAGAUGAUUAUGACAUAACUGUUAGGACAAUGAAUAGUUUUUUCAACAACUUUUAAGGUUUAAUCAUUAUUUGACUAAUGAGGGGGUCAUGUCCAUUUUAUAAUUAAUGCAAGGGCGCUCUUUGUGCAAAGGUCAGUCUUUCAAGUAGGUGGUUGUAUUAUCCAAAUAGUGGUCCUCUUUUGUGUAGGGAUGACCCAUUUUGUGAUGUGAUGAUGGUAGUAGUCUAGUCACAUUUAUUGCAUUACAAUGUGGUGGGUCUCAUAAUAGCUUUGUGGCUAAUGAUGGGCGUAGUGGUGCACCACCUUAUUAGCUAAACAUAUGGCAGAGGAUUUCUAUUUCACAUAUUGAAAGUUGAUUAAAGGAUGGUCUUCUUAACCACAAUUUAGGGAUUAUUGAUUAUAUGACAACUUUAGAAAGUCUCAAGAGACGGAUAACUAAGCUUUGACUAUAAAAUCUUCAAUUGUUGAUGUUGUUGCAAUAUGUAUUAAGACUUUUACUAUCUCUGUAACACUGACUGCAUCCUUUAUAGAGCAAGCUUGCCUUGAUUUCAAGUAAGGGAAUCAAUUGAGUCAUCAAAAGGUUGUAUUGGAGGAUGAAGUGGAUAAGGUAGAAGAGAUCAAGGAUGGCAAAGGAGAAGAGGGUGAUGGUCAGGGAGGAGUGUGAUUGUUCUCUUCCUUGUUUUGGAGAAAUAUCUAGUAUCCUUUAAUUAAUUAAACAAAUCAUCAAUCUUUGGCAAAAGGUAUUUAUUCUUAAUGGUGACUUCAUUCAAUUUCUUAUAAUCAAUUCACAACUUAAAGAACCAUCUUUCUUCUUAAAAAAUAGUAUAGGAACACCCCAUGGAGAAUUACUUGGUCUAAUGAAUUCCUUAUCUUGAAGUUUUCGAAGUUGAAUCUUCAAUUCUCGUAACUUAACUAGGGUGUAAUUGAUGUAGGAAAUAUACUUGGACAAACUUCAAUGGUAAAGUUACAUUAUCUCUUAGGAGACAAUCCAAGUAAUUCUUCAAACAAAAAAAAACAUCAAUAAAUUAAUUAAUAACAUGAAAGGACUACAAAUCUUUUUUUUCCUUUAAUCUCUACUUAAACACUUGUCAAAAAGUAUUUACCAUCUUUCUUUAAUCUUAAUUGAUAAUACUAAUUUAAUGGAGGACAAGGAAAUGGUGCACCCUUAUCAUCAAAGAAAUAAACUGCAUCCCUUCCUAAGAUAUGAAUCUUUACCUUUCUUUUAAAAUAGUCAAUAAUAGCAUGGUGGGGAGGAUAAAAAUUUAUGCCUAAAAUUACAUCAUAUUCUAACAUCUCUAAAACAACUAAAUCUCCUUUUAAUUCAUGAAUUAGAAUUGUCAUAUUACAUACUGUACAUAUUCUUUUUCUCUCUAAGUUUUGGCCCAUAGGAGGACUAAUAGAUAAAGAGGAUCUAUGUCCCUUAAGUACUAAUUCUAGUGCAUUCAUGAAGAAGGCAAAAAAGAAAGAGUAGUUGUUCUAGAAUCAAAUAGAACUUUUGCUCAAGAAUUAUAAACUAGGAUAGCAUCUUCCAAAAAGGCAAGAGUGUUAUCUUCCUUCACUUUAUCUAUAACAUUCACAUGUCCUUGAAUAAUACCUCCUUAAUUACAUUAACUCCUAUUAGGAUCAUUACUAAAUUCCAUGAACUCCUGAUUUCUAUUGAAAAUUAAAUGGUCAGUUUCUUUGGUUUGUGAUGGAAAGGUUAAAUGACAUUGUGGUUUUGCAAAAACUAAGGACGAAUUUGUUGUCCAAAAGUCCUCUAGUUUUGGUUUGGGAGAAAUCCUUCACAAGACACUCUCUCCAUUAUUUCCCAAACAAUCUUACCUUUACACCAAAAUUUGUCCAAGCCCUUGUGGCUGCUAUGGGAGAUUUCUCAUUUCCCUUUUAAAAUUACUCCUUGAGGUAGAAGGCCCAUGUCUGUUAUUCUACCUAUGUUCUUAAAUCCUCUAAGUAUUGUAAUCUAUUACUCAACAAUUAAAGUCAUGUUCACUAUUAUUCAAUAUUCUCCUAAGGAUAAAGGCACCAUGUUCUCCUUCAUACAUUCCCCCAAGAAAAGAGAAAUUGGUCAAUUCAAUGUAAGUAAAAAAGUCAUGUAUGUCUUUUAAUAAGCAUGUGCAAAUCUAGAUAUGCAUGAUAUCAAAAGCAUAAAUAUAGAAGAAAAAAAAAACAUGUUCAAACUCAUUCCCUUUGUUAUUGAAAGCUUUGAAGGUUGCACCCUAAGACUUUUGAAAAUAGUAGAGACAUCUCAUAAGUUGGUAAAAAUCUAUAAGUUUCAUCAACUCUCAUGGAGUCAAUGUUCUUGUUUUCUUCUAUAACAAUUACCUUGUGUUUGAACCUUUUAGGAAGAGAUUUAAGGAUUUUCAUAACUACCUUAGAAUAGAGAAUCUUUUCCCUAAGGUUAAACCUCAAGUUGAAAAUAUUACUUAAUUUAAAAAUGAAUCCAGCAAACGUUUUAGCAUCUCAUAUCCUUAAACUCUCAAAUAUAGCUCUGAGCAUUUGAAUCUUAGACAACUUCACAACCAAGUGCCCUCAUGAAUAAUCGAUAGUAUGUCCCAAGCCUCAAAAUUGCUAUCUUAGAAGACAAAAGUUAAAAAAACAUACACCUUAUCCUUUUAUAUAUAAUACAAAUAAUGACCAAAUAUUUCAUAAAUAAUUGUUACGACUAAUUUAUACCAUAUUAAUCUUAAAACCAAUAAAAUAAUUGAAAAUAGAAACACAUAUUUUGUUUUUUUUAAUAAAUUUUUUAAAAAAGAAUAUAAUAAAAUUAUUUUAAAACUUGUAUUUCUUUUGUCUAUAUAUUAUUUGUUUGAAAAAGUUUGAUAGUAAACAUAAACCUUAUCCUUUCAUAAAUAAUUGUUGCGACUAAUUUAUACCAUAUUAAUCUUAAAACCAAUAAAAUAAUUGAAAAUAGAAACACAUAUUUUGUUUUUUUUAAUAAAAUUUUUUAAAAAAGAAUAUAAUAAAAUUAUUUUAAAACUUGUAUUUCUUUUGUCUAUAUAUUCUUUGUUUGAAAAAGUUUGAUAGUAAAGAUUUCAAAUUUAUAUUUUAUUCUUUUUUUCUCUCAUUUUUAUGUUUCCAUUCAUUAAAGUUGAAAGUUAGUUUCAACAUACAUCUUUAAAAUAUAUGUAUUUAAAACCAUAAGUAAUUAGAUUAAAAAUAGAAAAAAGGGGUUUUAAUUUUGUUUACUUGAAAAAAAAAAAGUAAAAGUCUAAUCAUAUUUGAGAAAAGUUAAAAGUUCUCCAUGGUUGGAAAAAGGUAAGGUGUUGGAGCAAUCAAAAAAGGGUGCUCCAUAGUCCAUGGUCGCAAUGGAAAAAAAGAAGAUAGAGAGAGUGAAGAUCAAGUGUUGCAUAUUUUAGGAAGCGUGGGAGAAAAACCCCAAAAGGUUAUCUAUCUAAAUUAUAUUUAAAUAUUAAUAUUAUGGGUGAAGGUGAUUAAAAUAGUAUUAAUUAGCAUGCCCCAACUCAAUUUUUGUUCUCCAAAUAACUUCAAAUUCUAUGGAAGAGAGCAUUUUUGUCUUGCUUCAUUUUACAAAUGUUCAAUAAAUUCAUGGAACUAGAAAUCAAGUAAAACCCAUUGGUGUUUCACUUUAGUAGCCAGGGGAAGAGAAUGGUAGAAGUGUCAAGCUUAUCGAGAAUCCUCUUUUGGUCUCUCUCCAUAUAUGAAAACUUCCUUCACAACUGAAACAACAACAACCAUUGAUGGCAUAGGUUUUCAAAUGUUUUAGCUCCUUUCUUUUCUAAUGAAACAAGUCUCAUAUCUUGAAAUUCAAGACAUAGGAAAUAAAACCAUAAGUUGAAUUUCCAAGUUCAAAUGAUUCUAGAAAGAAAAAACGUGUAAUUAAGAUUGCAUUGAGAUUUUGUAUUGUAACAGGCAAUAUAUUGUCCAAAACAAGCCACUAAAUAAUACAAAUCCUUUGUUAUUACCUCAUUAUAGAUUGAAAUUUUAAGUUCAUGCCAAGAAUGCAAGAGUUUCUAGGGCUCCCAAGAAGGGUUUUUUUCACUCCCAAGAGUAUUUCACAAGAUGAAUCCCUAUUUUGAUUUCAAAGAAAGAACAUGUGAUGAAUAAUAAUAUGAAUUCAUCUUAUUCUUGAGAUAAAAAUUGUCACAAGCAUCCAAAAAAAAAGAAUCUACAAGACUAGUGCUUACAACAAUAUCAAACUUACAAAUGUUCAUUUGAAGUGUGAACUACAAGAGAAAAUGUUGAAACUUUAACCUUAUUAUGAAAAGAAAACAUCCCAAAAGCUCAAUCAAAAGAUAAAAAUACUUAUAAAACAUAUUUUUACACAUAAUUGAAUCACAUUUUAUUCAUCCACACUCUCUUCAAAGAGUAGAUAACAUCAGCUCCUAUUUCUCAAUCCUAUCCCAUAUCCUACAAUUAUGACAAUUUAUUGAAUCCCAUAAGAAAAUUUGAGUGAAGUAGGAGUCUGAAAAUUGAAUAACCUUCAAAAGAAUGACAAAUGAUGCUUAGAAAUGCAAGAACUGUUGAGACAAGGUAAAAGUGAAGACUAAUAUCUUCACUAGAAUAACAUUAAAGCUCAACUAUUUAGAUUAUAAAAAAUAAGCACUAGGUAGAACUAAAGAUUGAGAUACCAAAUUAAAAGCUCAAUUUGAAACAUGGAAAUCAUAAAACAAAGGCUCGUUCUAGAUUUGAAGUUUUUUCUUCUCUCCACUAUCUAAUUUUAUUUCUCUUAUCAUUUAUUGAAGAUUUGAUUGAUAAAGGUUUCUAACUCCUUAAGGACCUCAGACCCUUGGUAACACCACUCGCCCAUACUAUAUGAAAAUGGGAGAAAACUCAUAUCAUCUCUCUUUUUUUUUCUUAAUCGAUGAGACUUUAUAUGUAAUACAUGACCUCAAAACCUUCUUAGAAUAGUGCAAGAGGUGAUUAACAAAAACUUUCAGACAUGAAAUUGGAAUCACAUGUACCAAAAUUAAAAAAGAAUGGAGCACCAAAAGUAAGAAAUUCCACUUUCAUUAAAUAGAAAUUUCAUGUUUAGGAUAUUUACCUUUGCACCUACUAAUAAGUUGCCCCAAAGGUAAGAAAUUUUUCUUUCAUCUGCAUGUACAACAUAAAUUCCAUCAUUACCAAAAGGUAAAAUCAGUAUUUUGAAAAUUGCUUUCUAUCAUAACUUACAAUUGAAGUAUGACAAGAAAUACUUCCUUUAACCAAUAAGGACAAAGCUAAGAGCACAUUCCCUGAUUCCAGAGUUUUUGAAUGCAUAUAGAUGAAUCCUUUAGUAAGAUGUUAGCAUUCAGAGCCUAUAGUUGCAGUCUAAAGCCAAAUUUCCUAGUCAAAUAUUAAUCAAUGAGGAAUUCAGAAACAGAUAAGUCAAUAAUAAAAGUAUUCCACUCACAAUCACUAAGUACAAAAUGCGACAGUAAGGAUGAUAAACCAUUCCCUUAGAGGAAUUUUUUUUUUAGCAUGAUGAAAUUCUCAACUCUCCUAAUGAUGUGAGAUCAUGUUACUGUAGACCCUCCAUUUUGUCCUUUUAACACAUGUUCUAUUAGGUAUUUGUUCCGUAUUUUACAACAAUUCCCUGAUGACCCAUUACUACUCGUGUAGCCUAUCUUUUCUAAGCCACCUUGGGGACUUUGGUUGAGGGAUUUAUUUAACUCCAUUGUGACUCUUGGCAACCUUAGUUUAGACUUAAGCACAUUUGGGAACCAUAGGCCCACUUAUGCACCAUUAGGCUCACUUAGGCACCAUAAGUCCACUUAGGCACCUUAAGCCCAUUUAGGCACCUUAGGCCCACUUAGGCAUCAUAGGCCCACUUAGGCACCAUAGGUCCACUUAUGCACCAUAGGCCCACUUAAGCACCUUAGGCCCACUUAGGCACCAUUAGGCUCACUUAUGCACCAUAGGUCCACUUAGGCCCACUUAGGUACCUUAGGCCCACUUAUGCACCAUAGGCCCGCUUAUGCACCUUAGGCACGCUUAAGCACCUUAGGCCCGCUUAGGCACCUUAGGCCCGCUUAGGUACCUUAGGCCCAUUAGGCACCUUAGGCCCAUUAGGCACUAUAGGCCUACUUAGGCACCUAAGGCCCGCUUAGGCACCUUAGACCCAUUAGGCACCACUUUAGGCCCACUUAGAUACACAUGGCCCAUUAGGCACCAACCUAGGCCCAUUUAGGCACCCUAAGUCCAUUUAGUCACACUUGGCCCCUUAAGCACCACCCUAGGCCCACUUAGACACCAUACGCCCAUUUAGGCAUGCUUGGCCCGUUAGGCACCACCUUAAGCCCACUUAGGCACCAUAGGCCUACUUAUGCACCAUAGGCCCAUUUAGACACCUUAGGCCCACUUAGGCCAUUUUUUGCAUGGAUGCAUGGUUUGCAUGGUUUGCAUGGUUGCAUAGCUCGUAUGGCUUGCAUAUGCUUGACUUUGCUUUUUUUUUUUUUUUUUGUUUUUAUCUUUCUCUAUUAAUUAGUUUUAUUCAUUUAUUUAUUUAUUUUUAGGAAAUUGCAUGAGCUUAAUAAUCAUAUUCAUUUUGUUUUUAUUUAUCUAUUUAUUAGUUUAUUUUGAUAUAAAGUUACUUGAGUUGAUAAUUCAUUUUAGUUUUGCAUGUGAUCUAUAUUUUUUAAUUUCGUUUAAAAUUGCAUAUUUUGGAUUUUUAAUUCUUAGUUACACGUUUUUUUAUUAUUAUUGUAACCCUUAGUUUUAUUUUGUUGGUAUUUUUAUUUUCUUUUCUUUUUAUUAUUUGUUUUGCAUGGAUCCCACGUGUUCCGUAAAAGAAAAAAGAAAAACACCAUUAGAAAUGAAAGAUGGAGGCAGUCGGUGGAUUGGAGAGAGAUGAAGAGAGAUAAGGAAAAACAAAGAAAGAAAAAGAAAAUUGGAGGGGAUGGAGGGUGAUUGGAAGAGGAGAAGAAAACCUUUUUCUGCCGUUUUUUCCAUCACCGUGGUUGUAGAGAAGCUGACUAAGUGAUGGAGAAAAGAUUAAGAAAAAAAGAAAAAAAAAUGCACUAUUAAGGGGAGGUAUGAUGGAUUACUGAAAAAGAUUGAGGGUGAUCUGAAAGGAGAAAGGACGAUUGUUUCUACUAUUCCUUCUAUUACCGUGGCUGGAGAGAGGAGCUGAAGGGUGAUUGAGAAGAGAUUAAAAUAAAGAAAAAAAGAAGAAGAAGAAAGGGCACGUGGAACAGGAUCCAACAUUCUGGAGAGGAGAGGGAGAUGCUGCCAUACACAGAGAGUAAAGAAGAAAUCUCCAACUUUAUGGAGGAGAUCAUCGAAAAAAGGUUGGAGGGUGGAUUCACGGAUGAAGGCUGGAUUUUUUAUUUUUAGAGAAAUUGACGUCUUUGGGAAGGGAACCAUCAACCAGCCGCACCAUUCUUGAAACACUUUCAGCAUGCAUCAAAAGAGAGGGAAGAACGGGAGGAUUUCGAAGCGAAAGAAGGAUGCGACAUUUGGACUCCACCGAUGGUAACAACCUGAACACCCAGAUUGUUUUGGUCGACCCGUCGCUGAAGUUGACGUAGUCAANNNNNNNNNNNNNNNNNNNNNNNNNNNNNNNNNNNNNNNNNNNNNNNNNNNNNNNNNNNNNNNNNNNNNNNNNNNNNNNNNNNNNNNNNNNNNNNNNNNNUUUUGGUCGACCCCGUCGCUGAAGUUGACGUAGUCAAGCUGGAGUUGGUAUUGCGUCAUCUGAAUUUUCCUGUCGCAUCAGUAUUUUGAAUCUUCAUUUGGCCGAAAACCGAGAACCAGUCGAACAACAGCCCACCCAUCCAUGCCUCCUUGAAAAUGGUAAACUCUCAAAUUCCCAUUAUCGUCAAGGGUCGAUCUAUGCAACCAGGUCGUACUAAGAUUUGAAAGAAUUUGCUUUUCUCCAUUCUCUUGCCACACGUUUCCAUGUUCAUCCAACUUCUGGAACACAAUAUCCGUAUUCCGAUGGCUAUCAGAAUAGUUGAAAACCAAUUGCAUGGAGUUCUUAAAUUUAUACUUACUGUUCCUUGAGACGAGUUCUGUACUGUUUAUCUGCUAAUAGGGAAGAAUAGUAUUGGCUGAAGAACCAAAACUCCAUCAACUAGUACACCAUUGUUCUAGAGCAUCAUCGGAGAAGAGAAAACAGCUACACGCCACCAAGUUGUUUUGGUAAGCUGACUAGGUAAGUUAUAUAUAUAUAUAGGUUUUCAGUAGAAUUUAAAGUUUUGGUUUAUUUUUCAAGUGUGAUUAUUAUAUUGGGUGAGUGGUUUGACUUAUAUUGUUAGCUCCAACAUGUAUUUGUUUUAACAUGGCAGCAUGAAUCUCACUCUUGUUUAAUUUUUUAUUUAUUACACUAAAGAUUAGAAUUGUGUUUAAGGUUAGUUUUGAUUUAUUAUAUUAAAUUCAGAAAAUAAAAUUUUAUGUAGUUUUACUUUGAGAAAAAAUAUAGUUUGAUCUUUAUUUAAUUUAGUUUUGAUUCAUUUAAUUAUUAGUUGUUUAUUUAUUUAUUUGCUACUUAUUUAAUGAUUUGUAAUUUAUUUAUUUAUUUCUUGUUUAUUAAUAAGACUAAUCCUAUGGGUUAAAAAUUCAAUUUUUUUUAAAAAAAUAUGUUGUAGGUAGUUUGAAUCGACUUUAGGUUUAAGUAAAAUUUUAGUUUGUUGAAAUGAUUGAUUUUAUGUGUUAAAUAUUAGAUUUUAGACUUGCCUUAAUUAGUGUUAAAAACGUUUGUUAAGCUUAAAUUUUAUUUUAGUAAUGUAAGUUUAGUUAAAAAAAAUUAAUUCCAUGAGUUCAUAUUUCGUUUUAGUCAUAUUUAUUUAUUUUUGUGUUAUCUACUUAUCCAUUUGUUAAUGAGUUUGAUUUUAUAGGUUAGAAAUUUAGUUUUAAAAUUUGUUUUGGGUAGUUUUAUAAUUUAAUUUUUGGUUAAAGUAAAAUUUUAGUUUGUUGAAAUAAUUGAUCUUAUUUGUUAAAUAUUUGAUUCUUAAAUUUGUCGUAAUUAGUGUUUAAUUCAUUUUGAGCUUAGAUUUCAAUUUAAUAAUGUAAAUUUAUUUAGGAAAUUGAUUCUAUGAAUUCAUAUUUUGUUUUAGCUUGCUUUCAUUUCAUUUGAUUCAUUUUAAUUAUUUUAGGUAUUUUUUUUUAUAAUUCUAAGUUAUUAAUAAAAUCAAAUCCACAUUUAGAAGGUGUCUGUGUUUAGUUUACGCUGAUUUAACUUCACUCAUCUAUUCAGUUAGGUAUUUUCUAUAAUAUUAGCUCACUAAUAAAAUUAAUUCUAUGAUUGAAAAAUCAUAUUUGCCCUAAUUUAAUUUGGUCUAUUUUAAUCAAUCUAGAUGUGUUUGUGUGUUUAAUCGAUCACAUGUUAAUUCGUGAUUAUUACUCUUAAUUGAUAUGUUCCUUGAAUAUUAGUCAUUAAUUUAAUUGAUUUAAGUUUGAACAGUUUAUUACUUUAGUAGUCUCUGGUAAAAUUUACUUUUUGGAGGCCAUCAGAAAAUAGUGAAGAUUGGCCUCCAUUCUUACUAUUUUAGUUUGCUCGAUUGUAAAAAAAAUAAUCAUUUUAUGAUUUUGUUUUUUCUUUUGUUUUGCUUGGUAUUUUGUUUAUUAUGUUCUAUUUUUUUUCAAAUUAUUUUAUUUUAAAAUAAAAUAAAAUACAUUUCUCAAAAUUUUCCUCAUAAAAAUCUAUUUUUUUAAAAAAAAAAAUCCAUUUAGAGUCCUUAUAAUCCAAAUCUCAUUUUCUUAAAAUAACAUGCAACCAUUUUUUGAUCAGUUUGCAUCUUUCUCGAUUUUCAAUGAAAAUUUUGGUUUUGAAUAAAACACGAAUCAAAGUUUGUGGUCCCAAAUAAAUGGGAUGAUUCUAGGCUAAACUUUUGUAUACCAAUUGGGGAAUUGGUGAAUUUCCUACAUAAGAAAAAUUUUCAAAACUCUUUCUUGCUACCAGUUUUCACUCAGCCAUUGACCCUUUAGAUUUAAAAUUUGUUUUAGCAACUUUGGAAUGUUUUUAAACUUUUUUCCAAAUCUUGUAUGACUUUCCUCACUUCUUGAACUUGAAAUUUAAAGUUUCUUUUGAGUUAGAAAGCCAUUCUAGAAUAAAAGAUAUAAACAAGUUUUUAAGGGGACUCUGUUUUCACCCAGAUCUAGACACCCGAGAUCUUUUUGCAAAAUUAAAAUACUAGACAACUUUUUAAAUUUGAUCCAAUAUUUUUCCUCAAUUCUAGGCUUCUUGAAAUUGAUCUUAGACACCUACUAUGCAUGAUGGAAUCUGGACAUCUAAUUAUGUUGGAGCGUUUUAAAAAUAUUUUAGAGUACUACCUAACCCUGAAUUUGUUUUCUUUUUGAUAUAGACACCUUGAACGAUGUAUGUGAUUUUUAGUACAGAUUUAUGUGAUGUCUUAUUAUUUUUUUUAAAAAUUCAUUUAUGCAUGUCACUAUUUUUUUUACCUAAUUUGGACCUUUUGGAACUUUUUGGUGUCUUUGCUGUAAUUUUUCAUUCAAAUGAGUGUUUGGAUUUUGGUAUCUUGUUCUAGAUAUGUAGGAGUAGCUUCCUGAAAUUUUUUGUGAUUAAAUUCCACUCUAAGACAUUUUUUUAGCAAUUGUUUUGUGAUGCUCUCUUUACUAUAUGCAUGUUGAUGACUCAGUACUUGCUUGAAUUUAUUAUCUGCUUUUGGAGUCAUUUGACUUACCUUGGUUCACUUUUGGAUUUGGUACUGUAUAUUAGACAUAAUAGAGAUGUUAUAUAAUUUAUACUUUUCCUAACCAUUCUAACAUUUUUGGAGGAAUCUUAUAAAUUAUGCAUGUUAUCAAGGUACGCUUUCUAUCAUUUUUUUUCGGAAUUCCAUGAACAUGCAUGUUGUCGUGAGCCUUAUUUAUGCUUGAUAUGAUCCUUAAGUGCUUAGAUGUAUGCUUGAUUUGCUAUGAUUAGAUACAUGUCGUGUGUUAUAUUUCUAUACUAACUCUGAUGUUUUAUGAUAGCGCUUAAGAAGCGGUUCGGGUAUGCAUCCUAACUCUUCUUUAUUAUGAUUUGAUCUUGUUUGACAUGCUAUUUUUUUGAAAUCACCUUAGUCUACCUAGGUAUCCUCAAUUAAUCAAUUAAUUGUCACAUUUCCCUCAACUUAGUCAGUAGAGACCUUUGUAGGGGUUAGAGGGGUGCUACCUUUUAGAGGUACCUUCCCAAUAGGUAACCUGAUUCCUGGACCUAGACUCGGGUUUUCCAAAGACACACUUUUCCAAAAACUAUGAAGUCAUUUUUUUAUAGGGUUUUGUUUCUUAUUUUAAUUUCCCUUUAAAAUAAAAUAAAAUAAGUGGCGACUCUAACUUUUCCAAAAUCAAUUUUACACCAAUAAAAGCGAGUCUCACAAUAGAGUGGAAGUGCACGUGAAAAAUGCGGGUCCACAAAUUGCUGACUCCAUUAGGGAUUUUGAGGAUCAAGCUUGAACAAUGUUUUAAAAACCGGACCGGACCGGCCGGUCCGACCUGUCCGACCGCCGGUCGGUCACCGGACCGGUCCGGUCCGGUCAUUUGGACCGGAUGGAGAUCGAACCAGGGUCGAACCGGCCGGUUCAAUUGAUUUUAAUUUUUUUUUUUAAACCAACAUCAAAACGAUGCCGUUUUGAUGCUUCUGGCAUCAAAAUGACGCCGUUUUGGAGUCUUAUUUAAGCAAAGGAGAUCUCCAGAUUCUCCACCGCUGCGCAGCUACAAGGAUCCUACUCCAGCUCCAGCCUUUCCUCCUUCGCCCGUCGUCGUCGUCCGACCCACGACACCAAGGGAUCCAGCCGACGGCCUGCGACAGCAGCGACACUCACAAGAUCCGGCCGGCGGCCCACGACAGCAAGAGAGAUCCCGCCGGUAACCAAGGGUAGCUUCCCCCCUCUCCUCCGUAUAAGGCAGCCAAGUUGCCACCUCCGAGGCCGCCACCGGCGCCCACCAGUUACAGCCCCGGCGAGUCGACUCCUCCAGCAGAUUCAUCAGAGACAGCGCAAGAGAUAAAGCAGGAAGAAUAGUCUCAUCAACCCCCACCUGAAACUGCUCAAUCUUGAAGUGUAUGUCAAAUAGGUUUUAUCUUUUUUCUGUAAUUUUUUUUUUUUGGUAUAUUUCAUGACUUAGCAUAAAUCCAUGAAUUUUUUCCUAUAAAUAUCAGAAUUUUUUCUUAAAAUUUUAUUUUUAUUCUUCUUUUAUUAUUAUAAUUACUAUUUAGUUUUCCUUAUAUUUAAGAUUUAAAUUUGAAUAUUCACUUGCAAUUUCCCUUCUUGUGAUCUGCCAAUGGCAGAUGCAAUUCUAUAACAUUUUUUUUAUUAGAGCAUAGGAAUCAAAGCUCGAUGCCAUUUAGGGUUUUAAACUCCCAAAUCCGAUGAAUCAAUUUGAAGACUUGCCCACAACCCAAAUCUCAAAUUCUAGUCCAACUUCAACUGCCUCCCUUUCUUAGCUUUUCUCAUAUGCCCACUGUGGCCAUUAUGGAGCAUAAUUAAAUUGUUAAUUGUCUGACUUAGAAUUUAGCAGUUACCAUAAAAGGUGAAUUACUUCUGCAUUAUUAGAAGAGGACAGAAAAAUAAAAAAUGAACCUCUUCUGAAUUUGCUUGCAUUAUUGGAGUUUGGAGAGCACUGGAAGAUGAAGUUGCCAAAGAUUCAAUACAAAAUUAUUUCUUCAUUUUAAUAAAGCAAUAUUGUCGUGCUUAAGUCAAUCAUUUGUUUCCUAAUAGAACAUAAAUUCAAUUUAUUUGGCACUGAAAAUAAAGUGGUUUUUAAGGUAGUUGCUUAAAUAAAUAAAAGUAAUAAUAUUUUGAUGUUAUGUAACAAAGACCCAUUUAGUCAUAUGAUUUUCUAAAUAAAAUAUUUUAUUCCUAAAAUAGCUUCUGAAAAUGUUUCAUAAAAUUUCCUUUCAAUGGAAAGGCAAAAGGGAUUAGGAAAUGUUGUCAUUAAACAUCAAUAAAAAAAUAUGUUGAAUUAGACAACGUUAUAUGUGCAUUUAUUAAUUUUUUAAUUUUUUAUAAUAUAUAAAAUAAUAAAAUAUAUAUUUAUGACAUCACCGGUUCGAUAGCGGUUCGACCGCCAGUCCGACCGGUGAACCGUGAACCGGUAACUUUUCCGGUUCAAUGACCGGUCCGGUUCUGAAAACAUUGAGCUUGAACAUUAGUUGAGGAAAAUGUGGCAUUUAAUUGGUCGAUUAGAGGGUACCUCCUUUUUUAAAACAAGGUGAUUUAGUUUGUUUGCUUGCUUGGUUUUGCUAUCUAACAUGUUUGAUUGCCUUGAAGGAUCACUUGAUUGCUUUGCUCAUUUCAGCAUGAUUCACUUUCACAUAUGUUAGAUAGGACCCUAAUUGUAUGAUACUUAUCUGCUUUGAAUGACUGCUUGUUGUAUGACAACCCUUUCUCUUGCAUGAUUGUAUGAUUUCUUGUCUUUGUUCACUAUCUCACUUUAGAUCUUAGGUUUUUCUUAUGCACCCACAUCCUUCACUCUACACUUUAGAUUUUCCUUGUGUGUUGAGAUAUGAGAGAGCCUUUACCAUUAAGAAACCCCCUAGGAACGCAAGGAAAAGCAUGUGUGGAGGUGAUGACCACCUUGCAUGGAAGCAUCUCCUUUCCUUGGAGGUGUGCAGAGGGUUGCAUAUCGUUGGAGGGUACGAUCACUUUUGUUAGGGAUCCUUUAACCCACUCAUUUUAUCUUAUAGAGCCACCUCAACCUUUUAGGUUAGCUUAGACCUAAUUAAGAUUUCAUUCCCACACGUGGGCGCAUCUGUGGACCUUCAGAGCUGCCUUGGUUACAAUUGGGUUCGGUUACCCUCUCCAUAGUCUCAUUUUGGUAUGAUCAGAUACGAGUAUCAGUUUCAGCAUACAUGGGUUGUAUGCUUGAUUACCUUUAAGUCGGUUCCUACAGAGCUACUCCUAUAUAGCGUCUCAUCCAGUGUUUCUGUGUUUAUAGGAGUAUUUUUGUGCCCAAUCUGGAUUCGCCUUCGUGGACUAGAGUUAGAGGCAGGUUGACUAGAGCAUCAGAUCAGCCAGACCAAAGACUAGAUUAGAGAGAUAUGGACUCACAAGUAAUCACUAUUGCCCAGUUUGCCGCGACCAUGGCUUUGAUUCAGGAGGUUAUAGCCGGCCUCUCCCAGAGAAUAGAUGGGCAGUAGGCCCCUCCUCGGGAUAGUGCACAAUAUGACUCUACAGCAUCACCACCCCCUCCACUCAAUCAGUCGGUUCCACACCCUGUACCAUAUGUUUUACAUAAUCAGACUGAUACUACCCCACUUCCUGUCGUAGCACCCGUUCCGAUCUUAGAGGAUGCACAUGCUCAUAUGGAUAGAUUCGAGCAGAGAAUGAGACGGAUGAGGGUUUCAAAUGGAGCUAUCAGUUGAGAUGAUUUUGAUGGAGCACCAGUGGCCAGUUUACCGACCCAGUUCAAGAUGCCAGAUAUUGAGAGGUAUAUGGGCAUAGGUUGCCCUAAGAUUCAUUUGAGGCUAUACAGUAGUGUGAUGAGGGCCCAUGGGUUGGAUGAGGCCCACUUGAUCAUGUUUUUCCCCAUGUCCUUGAGUGAUGCAGCAUAGCGUUGGUUUGCUUCCUUAGAUGCCUCACACCGUAGGAAUUGGGAUGAUUUGACCCAAGAAUUUUUGAGACAGUUUGCAUUUAAUGUUGUCAUUGACGUCUCGAGGAGAGAGCUAGAGGUCUUGAGAUAGGGACCAGAGGAGUCAGUGACUUUGUUUAUCUCCCGAUGGAGGGAGAAGAUCACUCAGAUUAUUGAUCGUCCUUCAGAGAGAGACCAUAUUAGUGUGAUUUUGAGGAGUUUACAGCCCAGAUUCGCCAGACAUUUGAUGGGAUUUCCUCAUAUGGAUUUUGGAUCCUUGGUAUAGGCUUUUAUAUGGUAUAGAAGAGAGCACUGCUAGAGGAUUGUGGCCCGAGUCUUCCCUUCUUAACUCAAAAGGGAAGAAGCCCUCAGGAUGACAGAGACUAGAAGAUGUGGGUAAUGUUAGUUCAACAGGAUCGAGACCUCUCAGGCGUUAUCAGACAUUUGGACAGACUUCAGGAGCCUAUUACCCAUAGUGUUAUGUUCAAUAUAGACUACUCAGGCCCAUGGCUCCUACAUACCUAUACCAGACCUUAGAUCUUGUUUUUGUUACACAGGUUUCAAAGAGACCUCCUACUUUAUACCCUCGGCCCCGAGCCCCACAGACUGUUAUUCCUCUUGUAUAAAGAUAGACAUGAUAGUUCUCCCAGCUAGGUAUGCCUUUGAGUCGAGUUUUCUAGAAGCUCAUGAAGGGUGGUUUGUUGACUCAGUUGGCUCUUAGACCUGUAUCCCAGCCCAUGCCACUACGCUUCAGGAUGGAUCUGCAUUGUUCCUACCAUCAAGGUCCAGGGUGGCUUGUUUACUCAUUAAUCUUUUGUUUUUUGAAUCAUGUGGUUUUUCCUAUACGACUUAGACUCCAUGUCACUCAGGAGGUACCACUUCAUCCCUUUAUUUACAAUCAUUCUUGCCACAUUGAGGGCAAUGUUGAUCUUGGUUGGGGAGAGAGUAAAAGAAGGAAGUAUUGUUAAUAAUGCUAAGUUAUUUUGUUAAUUAAGUACUUUUUGCUUAAUUUAAAAAAAAUGCUUAAUUUUAAAAGUUUUUACUCUACUCUCCAUGGUUAUUAAGGAAAAAUUCUCAAAAUGAAAUGGGAGAAAUUGAGUUCUUACCUUUUUACUUGAAUAUUAGAGUCGUAUUAUGUUUAUUGAAGUUGAUGAAUUAUUGAAACGCUUAUUGAUUUCAACCUUAUUUCUUCCACUUUAAUCUUACCACACACUAUGCACAUUAGGUUCCGUUUAUAAGAUGAAAAACUAUCUCACCACUUGAACUUAGGAAAAUUUAGACUUGGUACCUUUGACCUCGUUUUAAUAGUGUUGAGACACCUGAUAAAAGGCCAAUGAGCCUUUGAAAAAAAAAGAAUAAAGUGUUUCGCUUGCCUUGAAACCCGAGCAAGGUCCAAGGGGUAUAUGGCGAAAGUCUUUAAAACCCGGUGCCCUAAGCCUUUAUUAGUUGGGAGUCACCGACCUCAAUGCUCGUCACAAGGGUGAAUAGGUGGAGUUUAACAUAUUGUAGGUGCUUGGGUAUUUAAAUUCAAUUUCAAAAGUCCGGGGUAAAAAUCCGAGGAGUUAGUGGUCGAAAGAUCCUUAAAGCUUGAUGCCCUAAAGCUUGAUUGGUUGGGAGUUAUCGAUGGAUCCCCGUUACAUGGACACUUUAGAAAACAAUACCUUUAGCAUUGCAUGCCUACAAGAAAAAAAAUUGUGAAAUAAAAGAGAUGCGUUCUUAGCCUAUUGGAAGUGGUCAGUUUGCUAAAGUAUGAGAAAGAACUAGGUUGGGGGAAGAGAUUAGUUCAGAGUACUAUAUUCGGAAACUAAUAAGCUUAACACAGAUUUUUGUGGAAGAGUAAUGAUUGAGCCUAGGAGAGUGAAAAUCCUUUCAUUACUUAAAUUUGCGUAAUACCUACUCUGUAUGAAGUAUGAUCAGGUAAGAUUUUUUAUAUCCUCUUGUUGAAUGAUGGGUUUUGCUUCUUUAAUAUUCCGUGUGAGAAUAUGCUUUACAAUCGUGCCACUUAUGAUUUUUUGGAGUGAUCAGCAUGAACUUGUAAAUUAUUUUACUGUCUUAUUUUUGUUUUUCUCUCCUUCAUUGCUAAGGGACUAGCAAUAUGUCGGUUGGGGGGAGUGAUUACUACUCAAAAAGUGCUCUUUUGUAGCUUCUUAUAAACUCUUUUAAACACUUUUGAGUAGUAUUUAUUACCUUUUAACUCAAUUGGCACAUUAAGAACCCUUACAAGUGUUACUAAUCAGUUUUUGGCAAGUUUUGAUGUUUUUUUAUAGAUUUUUAUCAUUAAAACAAGCCAAGAAUGAGAGAGAACUUGGUAUAGUCCAUGGCAAAGCAAGAUUGAAGCUAAAUUACAUGAAAAAUUCAAGUUUUGAAGAGCUUCGAAGCCUUUGCCAAAUCAAUCAAGUAUGCAAGGAAGAGAAUUAGAGAAGAAAUCUAACACUGAAGAAUUUCGCAACCUCUUUUCACCAUUUGCAAAAUUUUUGCAAGCCAGAAGAAAAUUUCGCAACUCCUUUUCAACAUUGUAAAAAUUUCACAACUCCUUUUCAACCAUGCAAAAUUUUCACAACUCCAUAUCUAACUUGCAAAAUCUUCAUGUAAUCUUCAAAUAUUUACGCACCGACUCAGUUACAUUUUUACCUUAAGAUAUUUUGUGUAAUUAUCUAUUCUCUCCUUGUAAUCAGCUAAAUAUCUUUUUAGAUAUUUAGGAUAUCUAAUUGAGGGGUUAAAAAUAUCUCUCUAUAUAUGUCUUAACAUAUCUCUUUUUGUAAUAUCUAUCUCAGAAUCUCGGAAGACAUUCUUGGGGAUCACUUGUACAUUUUUUAGUAAGAAAUAUAUAGAGCUUUGCUCUGCCCUACCUACUCACUUUGAUUGUAUUUUCUUUCUAGCCAAACAAUCUCUGAGGAUGUUUUCUCAGAGGAUGAGUGGCUAGACUUUUUGUUUCUUGGACUGAAGGAAGCUAGGUAAGGGACCCGGAUACAAAAGUGGGAGUUUUCCUUGUUUCAAUUUUUAAUGAAGAGGAAGUUGUGACCCGGUAAUGGUUUUUAUAUUUUUAGUUAACUUAAAAUCCCUUAUAAAUCACCCGGGCCAACACUUGGUAAGCUUUUCGGACUCAAUCCAUAGAGAUCCAUUAGUUAUCUCUUGUGAGCCUCUAGAAGGUGGUUUAAAGGUAGGAUUAUCUAGAAUAGCCAACACUUGGUAAGCUUUUGGACUCCCUGGAGACAUCCAUUAGUUAUCUCCUGCAAGCUUUUGAAGGGUAAUUCAAGGUUUAGGAUCACCCUGAAUGGCAAAUGCUAGGUGAGAGGUACGAGCCAUUGCAAGAUGCAUCAGUGAGAGGGAUUUAGCGUUGAAACCAUUAAUGGGAAGCAACUGUAACACACCGGUUAGGAAGAUAACUGUAGGUUAAAUCCCCAAUGUAAGGAAAAGAUCUAGAAUAUCCCCUUUUGUAUAAGGAACCUGAGCCUAGUGACUUGAAACUCCAAGAAACCUUUUCUUUAUAAUUAGUAUCAGUUACUAUUUUUUUGGUUAGCUUAAAACCAACAUUUUCAACCAAAGAUUAUGUUUUCUUUUAAAGCUAACUCAUAAAAGAAAAAACACCAAUCCAAUUCUUUAAACUAAUAUCAUGUGUGAAAUGAAAACUCAUCCCUGUGGACGAUCCUAGAACCACUAUGCUAUGCUAGCUAUGCUACCCUAGUAUAUGGUGAAUUAGGUUUAUAAAUUUUGUUGAUAACUCCCGUCUAAGGACUAAGUCAAGAGUACACCAAUUGGGGACGAAUCAAUUCCCCAAUGACCAAUCUUAGGGCAACACAUGGUCUUCCAAGAGGCUUCCACCUGGCAAAAAUGAUCUGCAAAAAUACACCCCAAAAUGGGGGUCUACAGUAUGACAUAAGUUAUAACACCCAUUUAAACCCUAAAUCAAUAUCUAAUAUCAAGUUGAGAGAACUUCAAUGAUUUCUACGAUUAUUUUUUGUUGGAUAUCUAAAGCAUGUAAUCAAAUGCUAUAAUAUAUAAUCAAUAUCUGAAGAGAAUAAGGAUAUAAAUAUACACAAAAAUCAUAAGGCCUGGCAAUAAAUGACUACUAUUAAAAAAAAAAAAUUAGUCGAUUCAAUGCAAGUAGAGAGUUAUGGAUUUCUUUUAAAAUGCAUGUGCAAAUGUGGAUAUCCAUGGUAUCAAAAGCACAAACAUAAAAAAAACUAUCUUCAGACUCAUUCACUUUGUUCUUAGAAGCUUUGAAGGUUGCACUUUAUUUUUUGUUUUAAAAAUUUUGAUGGUAAAGAUUUCAAAUUUAUGUUUUAUCCUUUUCUCCAUCAUUUUUAUGUUUUAAAAAAAAAUAAAAAAAUGGAUUGUUUUAAUUGAAAAUAAAAUAAAAUAAAAGGUUAAUCAUAUUUGAAUAAAGUAAAAAGUUCUCCAUGGUUGCAAAAACGUGAAGGUGUUACAACUGCCAAAAAAUAGGUGCUGCAUGGUCCACAAUUGCAAUGGAAAAGAGAGAGAGAGAGAGAGAGAGAGAGAGAGAGAGAGAGAGAGAGAGAGAGAGAGAGAGAGAGAGAGAAUAGAGUGUUGCUUAGUGGAUGCUUGUUGGUUUGAAAAAUGGUAAUGCUGUAGUAGUGUUGCUAGAAAGGAAAAAAAGGAAUAGGGCAAAAGCAAAAAGAAGAUAAAGUCUAUCUUUUCAUUUUUUUUUCAAUUAUUCACUUUAUCAUUAUUAUUAUUAUUUCUUCUUUCAAAAAUUAUUUUAUUUACAAAAUAAUUAUACUACAUGCAUGCGCAAAACCAAUAUACUACAUAUAAAAGGCACAUAUAAGAUAUUAUUUUUAUUUUAUUUAUUUAGAUUUUUGCCAUGGAGAAUCGUUUGAAAAAAUGUAGUAAGAAUAUUGUAUUUAUUGGUGAAGAUAAUUUGGCAUUAAUAUUUUAGGCAUAAUCACUAACUUAAGGCCAAUGCUUUCUGUUUUUUUUUUUGUUUUUUUUAUUUUAUAUAUAUAUUGAGGUUUUGCCUAGUAAAUAUGUUUUGAUUGUUUUGAUAUCUAGUUGAGUGGGAUGGAGGAAACACUUGCCUAUAGGCAAAGAUUAAAAUUUCAUAUUUUUCAGCAAAAUAUCGUUGAUAUAUCAAAUAUCAAUGGUGCCCAACAUAAUAUUAGGCACCAAUUAUCAAUCGAUGAGAAUUUUGAAAAAAUUUCGGUAAUAUCGGCGAAAUAUCGAUGAUAUAUUGGUUUGGAGGUGAAAAAUCGAUGAAAAAAUCGAGCAUAGAGUGACACACGAAGCAACAGAGGAAGACUGUUAAAAAAUCAUCGAUUUUUUCAAAAUGCCGGUGAUUUUUUCAAAAUUUUGGCAAUAGGCCAAUGCUCUCUCUCCAUAAGGUACAAUGCAUUUAAGGCAAUUAAUAAAAUUGUACGUAAGGAAACGCUUGGCUACUUGCAAGAAUCCUCUUUUGCUCUCUCUCCAUGUAUGAAAAUUGUUUUCCCAACUGAACCAUUGAUGCAUUGUAUUUCCAUCUCUCAAAUCCAAAUCUGGGUGGGCAAGAGCAGCAACCAUUGAUGCAUAAGUUUUCAAAUGGUGGGAUUCACUUGGGUUCUACCUACAUUCUUUUUCAGAUGAAACAAGUCUCAUAUCUUGAAAUUCAAAACAUAGGUUGAAUUAUUACUAAGUUCAAAUGAUUCUAGAAAGAAAAACGUGUAAUUAGGAUUGCAUUGAGAUUUUAUCUUGUCAUAGUCUGAAAAUUGAAUAACCUCCAAAAGAAUGACACUUGACACUUAGAAAUGCAAGUACCAAUUGAGACAUGGUAGAAGUGAAGGCUCAAUUUAGAUCAUAAAAAAAUAUAAGCAUUGGGCAGAACUAAAAGACUGAGAUCACAUAUUAAAAGCUUAAUUUGAAACAUGGAAAGCAAAAAACCAAGGCUCACCCUGGAUUUGAAAUUUCUUCUUCUCACCAUUGUCUAAUUUUAUUUCUCUCAACAUUUGUUGAAUAUUUGAUUGAUAAUGUUCUCUAACUCCUUGAGUUCCUCAGACUCCUAUUAACACCACUUGCCCAUACCAAACCAAAGGGGGAAAAAACUCACAUCAUCUCAAAAACGGAACAAAAAGAAGAGAAUUAAAAUUAGUUUUGUGUUUUUUUUUUAACUGAUGAGUCUUUAUAUGUAAUGCAUGACCUCAAAACCUUUUGAGAAUAGUGCAAGAGGUGAUUAACAAAAAAUGUUAGACUAGAAAUUGGAAUCACAUGUACCAAAAGUAAAAAAAGAAUGGUCCACUAAAGGCAACAAUUUUGCUUUCAUUAAACACAAAAUUUCAUGAUUAGGAUAUUUACCGAUGUAGAUACCAAUGAGCUGCUCCAGACCUAAGAAAUUUUGCUUUCAUUUGCAUGCCAUCCUACAUGUACAACAUAUAUUCCAUCAUUAUCAAAAGGUAAAGGCAAUCUUUUGAGUUGAGAAUGGUGAAAAUUGCUUUCUAUUAGAACUUACAAAUUAAAGUGCGGCAGAAAUGGCUUAUUUUGGCCAAUAAGGACAAAGCUAAGGGCACAUUCCCAAUUCCAGAGUUUUUGGAUGCUAGAGAAGUUGGAGUGAUGGGACCAUGCAUAUAGGUGAUUGUUUUAGAGAGAUGUUAGUGUUUAGAGCCUAUAACUGCAGUCAAAAGCCAAANNNNNNNNNNNNNNNNNNNNNNNNNNNNNNNNNNNNNNNNNNNNNNNNNNNNNNNNNNNNNNNNNNNNNNNNNNNNNNNNNNNNNNNNNNNNNNNNNNNNAGUAGUGUUGCUAGAAAGGAAAAAAAGGAAUAGGGCAAAAGCAAAAAGAAGAUAAAGUCUAUCUUUUCAUUUUUUUUUCAAUUAUUCACUUUAUCAUUAUUAUUAUUAUUAUUUCUUCUUUCAAAAAUUAUUUUAUUUACAAAAUAAUUAUACUACAUGCAUGCGCAAAACCAAUAUACUACAUAUAAAAGGCACAUAUAAGAUAUUAUUUUUAUUUUAUUUAUUUAGAUUUUGGCCAUGGAGAAUCGUUUGAAAAAAUGUAGUAAGAAUAUUGUAUUUAUUGGUGAAGAUAAUUUGGCAUUAAUAUUUUAGGCAUAAUCACUAACUUAAGGCCAAUGCUUUCUGGUUUUUAUAUAUAUAUAUAUUGAGGUUUUGCCUAGUAAAUAUGUUUUGAUUGUUUUGAUAUCUAGUUGAGUGGGAUGGAGGAAACACUUACCUAUAGGCAAAGAUUAAAAUUUCAUAUUUUUCAGCAAAAUAUCGUUGAUAUAUCAAAUAUCAAUGGUGCCCGACAUAAUAUUAGGCACCAAUUAUCAAUCGAUGAGAAUUUCGAAAAAAUUUCGGUAAUAUCGGCGAAAUAUCGAUGAUAUAUCGGUUUGGAGGUGAAAAAUCGAUGAAAAAAUCGAGCAUAGAGUGACACACGAAGCAACAGAGGAAGACUGUUAAAAAAUCAUCGAUUUUUCAAAAUGCCGGGGAUUUUUUCAAAAUUUUGGCGAUAGACCAAUGCUUUCUCUCCAUAAGGUACAAUGCAUUUAAGGCAAUUAAUAAAAUUGUACGUAAGGAAAUGCUUGGCUACUUGCAAGAAUCCUCUUUUGCCCUCUCUCCAUGUAUGAAAACUGUUUUCCCAACUGAACCAUUGAUGCAUUGUAUUUCCAUCUCUCAAAUCCAAAUCUGGGUGGGCAAAAGCAGCAACCAUUGAUGCAUAAGUUUUCAAAUGGUGGGAUUCACUUGGGUUCUACCUACAUUCUUUUUUAGAUGAAACAAGUCUCAUAUCCUGAAAUUCAAAACAUAGGUUGAAUUAUUACUAAGUUCAAAUGAUUCUAGAAAGAAAAACGUGUAAUUAGGAUUGCAUUGAGAUUUUAUCUUGUCAUAGUCUGAAAAUUGAAUAACCUCCAAAAGAAUGACACUUGACACUUAGAAAUGCAAGCACCAAUUGAGACAUGGUAGAAGUGAAGGCUCAAUUUAGAUCAUAAAAAAAUAUAAGCAUUGGGCAGAACUAAAAGACCGAGAUCACAUAUUAAAAGCUUAAUUUGAAAGAUGGAAAGCAAAAAACCAAGGCUCACCCUGGAUUUGAAAUUUCUUCUUCUCACCAUUGUCUAAUUUUAUUUCUCUCAACAUUUGUUGAAUAUUUGAUUGAUAAUGUUCUCUAACUCCUUGAGGCCCUUAGACUCCUAUUAACACCACUUGCCCAUACCAAACCAAAGGGGGAAAAAACUCACAUCAUCUCAAAAACGGAACAAAAAGAAGAGAAUUAAAAUUAGUUUUGUGUUUUUUUUUUUAACUGGUGAGUCUUUAUAUGUAAUGCAUGACCUCAAAACCUUUUGAGAAUAGUGCAAGAGGUGAUUAACAAAAAAUGUUAGACUAUAAAUUGGAAUCACAUGUACCAAAAGUAAAAAAGAAUGGUCCACUAAAGGCAACAAUUUUGCUUUCAUUAAACAUAAAAUUUCAUGAUUAGGAUAUUUACCCAUGCAGAUACCAAUGAGCUGCACCAGACCUAAGAAAUUUUGCUUUCAUUUGCAUGCCAUCCUACAUGUACAACAUAAAUUCCAUCAUUAUCAAAAGGUAAAGGCAAUCUUUUGAGUUGAGAAUGGUGAAAAUUGCUUUCUAUUAGAACUUACAAAUUAAAGUGCGGCAGAAAUGGCUUAUUUUGGCCAAUAAGGACAAAGCUAAGGGCACAUUCCCAAUUCCAGAGUUUUUGGAUGCUAGAGAAGUUGGAGUGAUGGGACCAUGCAUAUAGGUGAUUGUUUUAGAGAGAUGUUAGUGUUUAGAGCCUAUAACUGCAGUCAAAAGCCAAAACUCCUAAUCAAAUUUUAAUCAGUGAGGAAUUCAAAAGUAGAUAAGUCAAUAAUAAAAGUAUUCUCCUCACAAUCACUAACCACAAAAUGACAGUCCCUUCAAAGGAAAAGAUUUUUGAGCAUGAUGAGUCUCAACUCUACAAGAGAUAUGAGAUGAUCAUGCAGCCUUUUCUAUCGUCUUUUCAGGUUACCGUGAUUAAAAGGCUUUCACAUUUGCUGCGGGUCACGAAAUUGGGCUGCAUGAUUGAACUUUUUACUGUUGUACAAUGCUAUCUAUCUCAGGGUGGGUUGUUGGCAAUUUCAUGAAACCCUUGGAGCUUCUUUUAGAAAUAAUAGAAUCCUUGAGGUAAAAAAGGACAAGAAAAGACUAGAACAUAUUUAAACAAAAUAAUAAUUAGUGAGUAGAAUCUUUGGUGCAAGAUUACAAAGAAUUGGGGUGCCUGGUUGAACUUGUUAUUGUAAUACAAUGUCAUAUGUUCCCAUGUAGGGGAUGUGGGCAAUCUUGGGCUAAUAUUUUCCUUUGCUCUUGAGGCACCUUUGUUUUAGAAUAGGACAUGUCCCCAUUACAACUCUUAUAAGUGUUAGUGGCAGCCCUUCCUUUGGCACAAAGGACGAGAGUUUAGGCAGUUGUAGAGUUCAAGGAUUUUAAGAGAGAUGGGGGUUUGGAGAUCCAUGGAAUGGACUUUAGAGAUGAACAUCCCCAUACCUCUAUUCAUUCAAGACAACAAGUGUUAUUGUUGUCCAUUAAAGCAUGGUGCUUAAUUCCCUUGGAUGAACAUCCCCAGUUUAUGACAAUCUUCAAUUAACAACCACUUAAGGGUGGUCGGUAGCUCACCUUUUGGAAGGCAAAAAACUGUUGUAUGAACCUCAUCCACAUCUUCAACACCUGAAGACUAGCACUAAUGCAACAACAAUUAAAGAUUGCAUAAGUAUGGAAUGCAAAGAGAAGCAAAAAUCAAGUUUUAUGGAUUCUUUAUAGAUUAAUAUUCAAGCAAUGAAUUCUGAUUAUAAUUAAUAUAUGUGUGUGUGUGUGUGUGUGUGUUGAAUAUAUAUACUGAAGUACUAAAUGAAGAGCCCUAAGAAUAUAACUAUUUUCCAUGUAUAUAGACAAAGAACAUGAAGGUGCAGCCAAACACAUGACAAGGAAUGGAAAAGUAGGAAGGGAGUAAAAAAGGCUUUAGAGUCAAAGGAAUGUUGGAGAUGUUACAUGGGCAGACCUACUUCAUUCUACCUCCACUAAAAUUCUUCUCAUUGUUAUCAAGUCCUAAAGUAUACAAUUGUCCUGUUAUUCAAGAAAUUUUGGCUUGUGGUGGUCUAUGGCUUUGAAAGUUGGACUAGGACCUUAGGAGAACACUUUUGUUAUUGUGGCAUAGAGAUGAUAGAUAUCCAGAUGGCAAUUUUCAAAAAAUGAAUUUGCAAUAUGGAAACUACAAGUGUGUCCAAAGUUGUUCUACAUGUUUCAUUAAGACAAGAAAUUAUUCUGGGUGUCACACCUGGUGGCAUGUUGGCAAAGCAGAAAUCCAUACUUCAUAGAGUAUGCUAUUCAUAACUUAGACCAUGCCUUAGCAAAUUUUGCUCUUGCCAAAGCAGGAGUCCAUACUUGACACUUUGUAAGAGGAUCCAAGGGUUAUCAUUUUAGUUUCUUUAACUCUUCCCUCUUUUAAGCUCCUCAUGGUGUGGAAAGGAUCCACUCUUCCCUCUCAACAUUAGCUAAUUUCCUUCCUUUGGAUAAGUUAUUUCACCUCUUUAUCAAAUCAUUCUUCAAUAAAUUCAUCUGAAUAUUUUUUAAUUCUGCAAUCUUAACAUUACCAUUACAAAUAUUCUUACAAUUCACCAAUAUCUUGCCAGGUGUCUUUGAGAGUCAUGAGGUUCAAUAUAAAGAGGAAAAAAAAUGAAAGAAAUAAGAAUAAAAAAUAAAAAAUACGAAGAAAAGAAAAGGCGGGAAGCAGAGGGAGGGCAUUGUUCAAUCUCAUUUCUUGCACCUAGACCAAAGCACAUAGCAAGGGAGGUACUAAUUGUUGAUUGAACCAAUAUUUGCCCUCUCUUCUUUACUUUCAACAACUAACUUACAAAGACCUAACUACCACCUGUCAUUAGAGGAUUUUAUCUUCAAUUUAUAUUAUGCUAAUAUAAAUUUGAAAGAACACAUUUUUGAAAUCAAUAAAAGUGAGAAGAGAGAUAAUGAGAAAAAGAACAACCUGGGAUAUAUUCCCUUUCUGUGCAUCCUGAACCACUUGACAUACCAAUUGCAAGUAGAAAGGGUACUAUCUAGGCCAACAACAAUUACAAUGUCAUGUAAUUAGUCAUAAAAGUUGAAGUGGCAUAAGCAGAAAGACAGAAAAAAGAUGAGAAAGUUAAACACAACCCGAUGAAAUGCAAUGUUCAGUUUCAAAGUUUGAGAAAGUUAUACCUCUCCCAUUUUUGCAAUACAUAUUUCCAAGCAAAUGCCAGAAUCCUAGAAACCUAGGCAUUGAAUAAGGGAGCAUUCCUGUGUGAUUAAAGUACAAGACAAAAUCAAAUAAAAGGGCUUCAUUAACAUAAUGAGAUUCAAAUUUAGAUUGGAAUGAAACAGAAAUAAAACAAAAUCAUGAAUACCUUUUAUUAAGUAAUGGUGAUUGAAAUAGUAUACUGGCUUUAAGCAAAAUGGAGUACCAGCUUCAGGGCCCAUUGUUGUGGGUUAGUUCUACAAGUUGACCAAGCUGCCCAUCCCUUAGUAGGAAGUGAAGUUGGUGCCAAAUUUGAUAGGGCCUUAAAACUUCCUUUGGACCUGAUUAAUAGAAAAUUUACACAUGAAACUGGAAUCACAUGUAAACCCCAAAAUUAAAAAAGAAUGGUGCAUCUAAUACAUCUCCUUUCAUGUGCAACAUAAAUUCCACCAAUAUCAUUAGAAAAUGAAAGCAAUAUGUUGAGUUGAAAAUCGUGAAAUUGUGUUCUAUCAGAACUUACAAUUCAAUGCAUUAAUUCGCACCUCUAUUUUGGAAGAGGGCAGUGCCAAAUACCCAGUUAUUAAACUGCGGUAGGAAGGCUUGUCAUCCGAAAAGCAAGGAAAAAGCUAAGGGUACACAUUCAUGAGAGUCGAGGUUUUGAGCACAAAACAUCGUAGCUUAUUGUUGACCAUGGCAAACCCCUGAUUACAGAACAAAAGGGAGGCUCAAAUAUUAUAGAGACAGUAGCAAUUAGAAUGUCGAACUUUUGAUGGAAGAUUACAGAGAAUUGGGAGCACCUGAUUGAAGUUGUUAUUUGUUUUUUAAUUGUAGUACAAUGCCAUCUAUUUGCACGUAGGGGAUGUGGGCAAUCUUAGGCCAAUCUUUUCCUUUGUCCUUGAGGCACCUCUCUUUUAGAACGGGACAUUCCCUGAUUACAAGUAUUGCAAAUGUGGAAUUCAAGGUUUUUAAGAGAGAUGAGGCUUUGUACACUCGUGGAGGCUAUGGAUUUCAAAUUGCGGAGAUUUCCCAACCGGAGAGUGGUGAGAGAUGUAGGAAGAAGAAGGUGAGAGCCAGAAAAAGAAAGCAGAUCUCGGAAUGGGCCUUGAAUAAAUAGCUCACCAAGAGAGGUGAGUGUGUCGAGGCCCCACCCAGAUGGAGGCCACCUCAUAUUCUCACAAUCUGAAAUACAAAGUUCUUUAAGGUUGGGGUUCAAAAACGCUUCUGGAGAGGACACCACAUCUGGACAAUUACAUAUGUUCAGAAGUCGAAGAGAUGUGAGAUUUUGCAGCAGAUUCCCUGGAAUCGACUCCAAUUGCUCGCAGUCCCAAAUGGAAAGUAUCUCAAGUGUGGAGGGAAAGUAGCCUCUUGGAAUGGACUUGAGAGAUGGACAUCCCCAUACAUGUAGCCAUUCAAGUCGACAAGUGUUGUUGCUGUCAAUUCCCUCAAGUAGAGACUCUAGUCUCCAACAAUCUUCAAUCGCCAACUUCUUGAGGGUGGCGGGUAGCUCACCUUUUGGAAAUUCAAUAAAAUAUGGACACUCUUUAAUUUCCACGUACUCAAGUAUACAACUGUUCAUCAUCAUUCCAUCAGGCAGUGUCUCCAGAACCCUGCAAUUUCUCACCCCAAGAGGUCUUAGCAUAGGCGGCAAACCUGUCUCUGGGAAUGAUAGGAGUGUUGGGCAAUUAUGAAUUAGCAAAUCUGUAAGAGAUGUGAGGGUGUGUAGUGCGUUAGGCAGCUUCUCUAAGUUGUAACAUCCAUUCACUUCCCACUAUUGAAGAUUGCAAGGCAGCCCCUGCUCUUCCAAGGAUACAACCCCAUGACACCCUUUGAUCCAUGAAUGUCGCACACCACCAAGGUUUUCCAGUUCAAAUCCAGGCUUCCUCAAACAUGCCAGUUCAUCACAUUUAGCAAUUCCCAGAUCUUCAAUGGCUAUUAAGCUCCGUGCAAGCCUUUCCCAUAAACAACUCAGGCUUGAAAUUUUCCAAAUGUAUAAUUGGGUGAGUGAGGGGACAUCAACAACCCAACUUUUUAACAACCCAACUACUAUUAAUUUAAUAAGAAGUGGAAGUCGUGGAAUUGAAAUUUCCAAUUCUUAGCAUUCUUGAACAUGAAGCGUCACAAGGGAAGGUAACUCAUGAGAUAAGUUGAUGAGUUUUGGACAUUUUAUUGUUAUAAGCUCACGGAGGCAAGGAAACAAUGCUUGGGUUUCCUCAUGAACCAAUUUAGGAAUUAACAAAUCUUUCCAUUGGGGCAUUUUCUCAAAUCUCAGAUGUUCUAAAGCCCGAAAAGAAUUCGCAGUCUCCCCAUAGAACUCAUCGCCUAUGCUUUUAACUUCAUUCAUGCCUUCAAUCACCAAGUUUUUGAGGAAAGGUAGUCCCCCUAGUGCUGGCAAAGAUGUGCAAUUUUUACAAUUUAUAAGAUCCAGAUACACCAUUUUGGAGAAGGAUGGAUCUCCUAUCCAAUUUGGGAAUUUUGAGCCACCAUAAAAUCUAAUAUCCAGUUUUUUCAAACUUUGAUGAGGUUGCAACCACUUAAGGACCUCUAUCUCGGUGCUUUCAUUCCUUGAAUUGCCAUACUAUUCACUCCAUACCAUGAUUAAGUCUUCAAUAUUCCGUCCCUCCUUCGAAUUGACUUACCUCGCAUCUCUUGGAUCCAAAAUAUUCUCCAACCCUGAAAUGCUAAGCUCUCCUUGGAGAUUCAACAAGUUCUUCAAUUCUUUUAUUUGUGACCCAUUACCCUUGCUUAGAAAAAACCUAUUCAACGUUUGCAAAUUUAUCAACUUGCCAACUUGUGGAGGCAUCUUUUUCAACAUAGUUGAACCUCUAAUAUCAAGAUGGCGAAGAUUAAUUAAAUUUAUGAUGCUCAUAGGUAAAUUAAUGAGUUGCACACAAUUGCAUAAUAUCAACGAUUGUAAGUUGUAAAGACCACUCACUGUUUUAGGUAAUUGUUUGAUUUUUGUAGAAAACAAAUUAAGAAAUCGUAAAUGUUUCAAAUCACCAAUCGAAUCUGGUAACUCAUUUAUUUCAUAACCACUCAAAGAGAGCACCCUCAAUUGUCCCAACUUUGGCAACAAGCCAUUAAGCACCUUAUUACUUAAGUAGCAUUUCUUCUUAUUAUCUAGUGUGAUGGGUAGUGCAACAAAUGUUCGUAUUUGCUUUGGUUUAUUUAGGACUUCAAAUUUUUUGAACACAUCCUGCUCACCACGCACGAAUGACAAAUGACGAGUCCUUUGAGAGACCUUAUAUAUAUUCUCGAAAUUGAAACAUAUUUCUGUAGCAACUUCUUGAGCAAGAUCAUUAAUCAAGUCAUGCAUUAUGAAUUCGGAUUUACUAUCACUUGAUGGUUGGAAAAAGCAUUUUGAUAACAAUUCAUUAAAAUAAUCAGCACCUAGAUCUUCUUCCAUUUGACAGUUAUCUUCUUCUGCUUGGUGAAUUAAAUCCCCUGCCAUCCACAAUAAAAUUAGCUCUUUUUGCUUAAAUUCAUAGUCCUUUGAAAACAACGCACAAUAAGCAAAACAUCUUUUUAGAUGUGAAGGGAGAUGUUGAUAGCUUAAUCUUAGCACUGGAAAAACACCACUCUUAUUCCAAAUUUUUCUACUCAGUACACGUUCCCAUCGAUCCUGUGGUUCGGAGCGUAGAAGCCCACCAAGCAUCUUUGCUGCUAAGGGCAGGCCACUACAUUUCUCUACGAUCCUUUGUUGAAUUAAUUCCAAAUUUGGAUGUUCAUUGGCAUUCUUGUUUUCAAAUGCAUGUUUCACAAAUACAUUCCAACAAUCAUCAUUGGAUAAAGGCUUGAGCAAAUGGUGGAAGCUGUCUGCUCUCAUCAAAGAUGCAACAUUCCCAUGACGUGUUGUUACUGCAAUUUUACUUCCUCUAGCUCCGGACUUAAAGGGAGUCUGUAAGUGAUUCCAUCGCUCAUAAUUGUUGAUGUUCCACACAUCGUCCAAAACUAGCAAAAACCUUUUUCCAGCCAGAUUAUUGCUUAACUUGAGCUGCACUUGAUUAAAGUUAUCCCCAUCACGGACUUCAUUCGGAGAGACAGCAUUGAGAAUUAUCUUCGUUAACUUCUCUACAUCGCUCUCAUCUGAUACACACCCACACCCUUGGCUCAAAAUGCUUCACUAUUUCUUCAUCCCUGUAUAUCAACUGGGAGUUUUCCCCAUCCCACCUAUACCUACAAUGGGAAUUACCCCAAAGUUGCUUUCACCUGCUUCAUCCUUCAACAGCAUCUCAAUAAUGACUUCUUUAUCUUUAUCCCUGCCGUGAACAGCUUCGUUAAUCAAAGAUGUAGAAGGGGGUCGUUGCCAAGCAGAAGCUGCUUCAGAUGCAAAACUUCCCCAACUUGUUUCAACACCCGGGACCAUAUCAAAACCCAGCUCAGCUUUCCGGGUUGAACUAUCGCCUAACCGCCUAGUGAUUUCCUUGAUCUUGGUCCCCAUCUCAAUAUUAAACUUAACUUCAUCAACAGGAUUGAAACCAGUAAAGCAAGUCGGGAUGAGGCUCCGUACCUUACUUGUGGUGGCCACCUGAUCAGCACCUUCUGACAUCAACCUGCAUCGCAACAGCUCGGUCGCGAACUCAUCCAGCACAUCUUCCAUGUCGUAAGCCAAGUCUCGGAGAUUGUCAAGCCAGUUUUUCACGGACGGCUUUGAUGUCUGCUUCUCCUCAGCUUCGUCCAGCACUUCAUUAAUCAUCAUCAGUUUCUCCUUCCAGUUUUCAAGUUCAGCAAUGACCCCCUCUUGGCCAGCAAAGUUGAGCAACUCAGGGAAAACCAACUUACCGAACAGAACUUGGAGGGCAGCAGAAAGAACAGACUCUCCAACAACCUCCAUCGACUAGUUCUUUCCAGAAAUCGAAGGGCAGGCAGUGGAGACAAAAGAAACAAGCGAGAUUGAAAAUUUUAUCAGCGCAGACGUGAGCAACUGGUGUAGAUUGCAAUGGUGGUUGCUGGGUCAACAAGGUUUGGAAAAGGAAAGCGUGGCAGAGAGAGGGGCACAUGGGCUGCACUGAUAUAAAAAGAUCAAUUAUGAAACUCCAUGUUAUAUUAUAGCCAAUUGUAUGUGAGGGUUUAAAAAAUAAUGUGAACUGCUGUGGUGGUUGAUGUGGUGUGUGCUGCCAUUCAAUUACUGAAGAGAGAGUAUGAUGCACACUGCUCUAUGUUUAGAAAAUCCUAAGGGCAAUUAUGCAACCAUAUGGGUUUAAAAAAAUGUAUUAUUUUAAAGAAGGCAAUCCUUGUCUUUUAUACCUGCUAGAUCACGUAGAAAUAGUCUCUCAAAUAAGCACUUCAAGGAUGUAAAAAUAAGAAUUCCAUAUUUGCCCAUACUCCUCCAGCCACAUAAGCAAUUCGAUGUGGGAUUGCCGUCAAAUGCCACGUAAUCAAAACACUUGGACUUAAAAAAAAAUGAAAAAUGAAUUUCCUCACAUUUCCUCAUGCCUCCAUAACCUUUCCCAAAAACAAUACCCUAACAAAGGAAAAAAGACAAGCUCUUUCCAUAUGACCUUAAUUCUUUCUUCGAGCUUUUCUGCUAUAUGAUUAUCAUUGUUCCCUUUCAAGAAGGCUUGAAUAAAAAAUCUGGUCUGGUUUUAUAUAAGUGUUCACACUAUCCUAUAGAAUAAGUGUUUGAUUUUGUUGUUCUUAUGUUUUGUGGUUUUUAUUACAAUUUGAGGUAUACCAAUGUAAGGUAAUCACUUUACAAAAGAGGUGAAUAGUAAUAGUCACUUUUUACAAAUUUAAAUUUAGAAAGUAAGUGAUAUUGCAAGUACAUGGAGAAAACACAAAUGCAAGUACUAGUUUUUAUGAAUGGUUCGGCACAAGUCCGCCUACAUCCAUCUCCUUAAACUUUUAAUUGAGUGAGGGUUCUAUAAAUCAAAACUUCAAUCCGAGUUUUCAAGUUUCACAAUUGGAUUAUAAUUCUAAUCAAUCCUUUUAAACUUGUGACUCCAAGUACUCUUUUAGAAAAUGAUUUCACGCACCAUUUACAAAACACCUUUAAGAUCACACCACAUUUGGAAUUCCUCAAGUAUUACCCCACACAUGAGCCUACCUCACAAAGUAUAUGAGAAAAGAUUUGGCAAGAAUAUAACUUCUGGUUUAUAAAUUGGCACAAUGGAAUAAAAAAUCUAUAAUAAAUGGUACACAAAGCUUGGAGCCUUUAAAUAAAAGUUGAAGACCUAAACUAAUUGUUAAAAACAAUUUGGGAUCGAUUAGUCAACCAAUUGGUCACUAGUUUUGGGUGAUAGAAGAUACAAAAAAAUGACUAUUACAUCAUAGGAGCUCAACCAGUUCUACCAAUCCUCAAUCAAUUGAGUGAACAAUAACCAAUUCAACCAAUUGAGUCACUUCAAUCAAGCAUAUGCAAAAUAUGGAAAAUUGAUACAUAAAUGACUUUUAAUGACUCAAAUUAUUUUAAUAUGAAAACAUAACAUUGAAAAAAGUACCCAUUUAAAUGAUGAAAUAUAUGUCAAAAUAUGAGUUUUUAUCCUUGAAAUAAUCAAUUUUAAUUUUGACAUGUAAAAUUCAUUGAAAUAUGCAUAAAUGAAUUCUAUAAUUUUCACAAAAUUCUUAGGAAAACCUAGGUAGAUAAACUCCUUUUCAUUUUAAAGACCUUUUAAACUAUGAAUAGUAGUUGGUUUUCAUUUAGAAAGAUUCUUCAUUACUUUAUAAAAGAAUAAAGUCGAUUUAGAAAAUUGGAUGAUUUUAGGUACUUGAAUAAAAAUAAAAUUCGCUUUGAACCUAGUGCAUCAACAAUUUUAUAAAAAGAUCCUAGACAUGAGUCUUGCUUGAUUUCCUCUUUAAGGUCUUCUCUUUUUCUUGAUUUCACUUUAUUAUGUUGUUGUGAUUGGUUCUUUGGAAUUCCUCUUGCUAAAAAACACUUAAAAUAAAUUAUUAGUUUCAAACCUUGUUUUGUUAUUAACAAAACCGAAAUUAGUCAAACUUUUGUUUCACGGUCUCUUUGCCAUGCAUAUUUCUUUAAAAAAUAGAAUCAUUGAGCUUCUUAAUGUGUUUGGUCAAUGAGGAACAUUUGCUUAUGUUUUUGUUCCACUUCAUAAUAUUAGAAAUCUCUUUUACUCAUGUUUUCUAUUUUGUAAUUUCACGUAUUCAUUAAUUGGCAACAUCCAAUUUUAGCUAUAGAAAAUUUUGUUAAGUUAUUUUCGUGGAUGAAGAGCAUUUGACACAAUUCCAAUUUUAGAUCUUCACAUUUUAUGGUUUUCAAAUCAUAUUUAUGAUGGACAGUGGCAAGGUAAAAUUGUAGAACAUGCAUUAAAAUGAUGCCCAAGGUAGCAAAAAGAGGGGCCAACCCAUGGAUGGAGAGGUCGACUUAUCCCCUUCUACGUUGUCCUAUUUUAAUGUUGGUAGUAGCUAAUAUAGGAGUCGACCUUUGAUUAGAGAGGUUGACCUUGAUUAGAUAGGUUGGUAUGGACCUCGCAUCUUUUGCAUGCGUCCCCACUCUAUGGUGAGACUUGUUUUUUAUUGUGAAAAUUUUGAUUUUUUGAAAAUUAUUUUUGGAGACACCAUUUAUUUAUCAUUUUUAAAGGGAAAAACAAAAUAAUAGAGAAAAACUAUAAGUGUGACUCAUGAAGGAAAAAACAAGUCUGAGAAAAAUUGAGUCGAGGUCUAGGGAUCAGGUUACCUAUUGAGAAGGUACAGCGAUAAACCGUAACACCCUUCUAAACCCUAAAAAUUAGGUUUCUACUAAUCAGUUAAGACAAGUGUGACAAAUGAUCAAAUAAUUGUGGAUACCAAAGAUCUUAUAGAAUGAAAGCAAAUUCUGCACAAUAAUGAAUAAAUAAUUAAGAUGAAGAUGGGAGCAUACUUGAGCAGCAAAUCAAUAGUGUUUUCAUGAAAAACAUGGUUAACUCAAUAAUGACAAGCACAAAAUAUCUCACGCAAGUUAUAGAGCAAGGCAAAAAUAAAUUAAUAUUGAAUAAAUAUAGCAAUCAGAAUUAACAAACGAAUGGCGAAUGUCUCAUGUGUUGGGCCCCACCAAUGAUCAAUUUAUUUUUGCAUGAAUUAAUUCCAUAUAUUUCAUUAUUUUUAAAUUGUAAAAUUGUAUUCAUGCUUAUUAAAAACAUGAAAAACGGGAAAAAAAAUGGCAGCUAGUUUAUCAAAACUGAAUUUUAUUUUCUAAUAUCUCCAAAGGAUGAAAUUUAAAAAACUGAGAUUAUUUGAAUAGAAAAAAAGAAAGUUUGAAAACCAAUUCAAAACAUAUAAGAUCACAAAGAAAAAUAAAAGAAAAACAGCAAGAGGAAAAAGUGGCCAUGUAAUGCAGGAGUUGGAAAAAUGGGCACCGGGGAGGCUUAGGUGACUAUUCUGUUGGUGCGGAUGACUGACAUGGCACUAGUGUACUAAUACAAGAUCAGAAGUUGGCAUUUGCUUGCACAGUUGAAGACUUAGGCUUUACUGAUUUUGAUGUCACUCUGCUGGGUUGCCCAGGUAGCCUAAAUCCUUGCAAAUGCCAUUUCCUUCCAUAGGUAAUGCAUCAUCCAUUAGUUUGAGCGUGGCUGAGUUUGUCCACCUUGAAAUGACACUUCCCAAGUCCAAAGUGAGGCAAACUUUACAACAACGAUUAUUCCAGCCUGAACCAGUUGUGCAAUACAUCUCAUAAGUGUGGCUAUUGUUGAGGCCUCGCGUCCCUGGUGAUCCACGUAGUUGCCAAAUGGAUGGACGCACGAUCUCAACCUAUAGAUUCUUGAUUCAGUCGUUCUACCUGCAAAAUGCGUCCGGAUAGGGUGUCCGGUCGCACCCUUCGAUGGUUUUGUUAGCCAUGGUUAGAGAGAGAGACAUAAAUCAGUUGGCCUUUUACUAGGUAUAGAACAGCUUACCUUCCUUUUUGUGUGAAGGCUCAUAUAUAUAGUAUCAGAGGCUUCGUUUCCCUCUUUAAUGGUAAGGAGAUAUUUUGUGUUGUCAUGAUGGCACUAGGUGGUGGCAGGGCCAUCAUCAGCCUACGGGAGGCUAACAGAGAUCGUGGUAGGUGCUGUGACUGUCAGAAAUCGUGGUAAGUGAUCGUGGGAAGUGACUUGCCGUCACUUCAUUCUUGUCCUUUCACACUACAGGUGGCGGACGUGGGCCAUGGCAGGCUAUUGCAGUAACGUGCAAGACUUGCUUACUUCAGUCAAUGAUCCGGGCAAACAUAUCCGGAUAGCAUACGUCGGUCAUCCGGAUGCGUUUGUGGAAGUCGUCCGGAUGUUAUGCUUAUGAGUGUCGUGUACCUCUCCUUGGGGUAGUCCGGAUAGGAGAAGCGUGCCACGUGUACUCUUAUGGAAAUCCGGAUGAGGGUGAUCCGGAUGAUAAUACGUGCCACGUGUCACCAUGAGGUGUGUGGCACGUGUUCUCAGGAGGAGGGGUCCCUACAGCUAUCACAUCCAGCCAGAAAAGAAGAUGUUCCCCUGGCAAUGCAAGUCACACUGAUCCCAUAAGAUGAUAUUGUAUAUUCUAGCCCGAUAACUAAGAUAAGUCAUUCCUCCAAUUAUGAGAUAGUUCACUACAACCUUAGAAGGAUUGUGUAAUUUAUAAACUAUGAACAAUUCAUCAACUUAUAAGAAAUUUAUGAUUUGGAUCUUCCGUGAAACUUCUAAUGUUCUUAAGUCAUGUAUAAUGUAAGCUCGAAUGCUCAAACAAGUAUUAAUACAAAUGAGAAUAUAAUAGUGAAAACUAAAAUAUAAUUUGUUACAUGAUGUCAUGAUUUUUUUGGGUUUUAUCCCCGACAAACAAGUCCUUAUUCCUCCAAUUAAGAGUUAGUAUAUAUUGCCUCGAAUGGAUUGCCUAAGUCCACGAAUUGGUUAUGAACAAUUCAUCAACUUGCAAGAAAUACAUAACUUAGAUAUUUCAUGCAACUUUUAUUGCACCCAAGCCAUGUAUGAUAAAAGUGAUGCAAACUUGAAUGCUUAAAUAAAGAUCAAUGCAAACAUAGAUAGAAUAUUGGAGACAAAAAUUAUAAUAUAUAUAUAUAUAUAUAUAUAUAUAUAUAUAUAUAUAUAUGUAUUAAUAAAAUUUUAUUUUGUUACAUUAUAUCAUGCUUUUAAGAGUUUUGUCUCAACAAGCAUGUCCACACCUCAUAUGUUGUAACUCACUUUGAAAAACAUUUUUCAUAGUCUUCAUAUAUUUACAUAUCAAUGUUUUAAACUUUUUCACUUUUAUGGCCUACCAAACUGGUUUGAUCAUUUUGAGCAUCCUUAUAUGAUGCAACAUGUUAGUUUAAAAAUAAAUUAAAAUACUUUAUCACAAAUAUGACUUACAUUUGAUAAAAAGUAUUUCAAAUCAUCAAAAAGUAAAAGAUUUUUUAAUAAUAAGAGAGAUAAUAUUAUCAAUAUUUUUAAUAUUAAUCAACAUUAUUUUGCAUUAUAUCCAAGAAUAAUCCACCCUCAUUUCUUCUUAGUUGGAUAUUAGAAAAUAAUUUAGAUCACCACAUGGACCCAUGUGGUCUUAGGUCGUUGAGGGUUAACUUUCUUUUUCCUUUUAAAUCCAAAUAGAUUUUAAAAUAGAUGCACCAUAAGGAAAUUUUCUCAAACGACAAGUACUAUUAACAUUUCUCCUUCAAAAAUUGCAAAAGAUUGAUGGGUCACUACUUGAACUUGUUACAAAACAGUUUUUAUAAUAGUAAUGAAGUUUGUAACCCAAAAAUGAAUCUUAUUAUAUUAAUUGAUGUUGUUAAUAGCAAGUGAACUUAAACAGAGAAAAUAUGUACAUAGCAGAGAAAUGUGACUUAGCUACUUAAUCUUAUUAGGAUGGUAGUUUUUAGUAACUAAGGAAACUAAAAAUAAAAAUUGAUUCUACAAUUUAUAUUUUAUAACUAAUCCUCAAAAUCCUUUUUAUGGGGUGCUUGGGCCAAAAAUUUGUUUUGUCACCAUUUUUUUUUUUUACCAUCCAUGUAAACAUCAUUGCUUUUGAAACAUUGUUUAAAAAAUAAACUAUAGAUUAUGUAGUUGUUGAAGUAAACAUUAAUAACAUCUAAUUGUAAUUCAAAGAUGAUCAACUGAGGCAUAAUUUACCAUUUAGAGUAUUACAUACUGUUAAAACAUAAUGGGAGAACAACUUGUAUUGAGAAUGAUCCACAAGGAAAGAGAAUGGCAAAACUCUCAAGUUCACCAAGACUCGUCUGCUAGUCUCAUGGUUAGGAUUUCAAUCUCACAAUUACCAUUUCACAUAUUUGAAUCUCCAUGAGCACUAGCAACAACCAUUGAUGCACAAGUUUUCAAAUGCUUGAAGAAGACAUGUGCUUGUUCUUCUAUCCUCCAAAAAUUUCAAAUUCAUGAAUUAGUCAACUAUAGGAAGCUUUCGGAUGAAACCGGGCCCAUAUCCUAAAAUUCAAAACAGAGGCAAUAAAAUAAUAAGAGAGAGCAUAGGGGAGUUGAAUUACCAAGAGACAAAUGUGUAAUUAAGUAUUUGCUUAGAUGCAUUUACUGUUUUAUAUUUUUAAAAGGAGAAAAUAGCUUGUUUAUAUAAAAUACAAAAAAAAUUAAAGACUUACAUUCACAUGAUAAUAGUUUUAAAAAUUGUUUAAAAUUUUGAAGUAUUAAAAAUGUUUUCUUACCUCAAAUUUUAAAAUUUUUUGAUGUAAUUUUAAAAAAAAUAAAAGGUAAGUCUACUUUUUGUACAAGAGUUUCUACUUUUUAUAUAGAAAUAAUUCUUAUUUUUGUUUUUUUCUCUCUUAAAAGUAUAUCUAAACAAGAUCAAAGACUGCAUUAAAACUUCAUCUUGUCAUAAUGAAUAUACCGUCUAAAGUAAGCCACUAAAUAAUAUGAAUCCUUUGCUCUUUACCACCUCAUUGUAGAUUGAAAUUUCAAAUUUGUGCUCGAUUCCAAGGCUUUUGAGAAGGAUUCCUCACUCCCAAGAGUACUUUAGAAGAUGAAUCCCUAUGUUAAUUGCAAAAAAACAUCUAGUGAGUAAUAAUGUGAAUUCAUCCUAUUCUUAAGACAAACUUUGUCACAAGUAUCUAUAGUACGAAUGCUCACAAAUUAUCAAACUUACAAUUAUUCAUGUGAAGGAAAAUCCACCCAAAGUAUCCUGAUUUCUCAAAAACAGAGUCAAUUAGGAAUAUGACCUGGUUGUAGGAGCUUCCUAUAGAGCAGAUAAUAUUCAAAAUAAUUGUCAUUUUUAAAGAUUAAGCUUGAUCCACAGCACAAAAUAUUAAAAUUAUAACUAUUCCAUAUAUGGAAAGAAAACAUCUCAAAAGCAAACUUAGAAGAUAAAAAUAGAUAUAAAAUAAAUUUUUGCAUAGAAUUGAAUAAUUUUUUUCAUAGACUCUAAAAAGUAGAUAAGACAAAAAUAAAUUUCACUUAAAGGACACACUUCUAGAAUUCUAAAAGAGCAUAUAGUAUUUUCAUAUUAGACUUGUUAUUCACCCAAUUGAAUAUGACAAGAAAACAAGCAGAAUAUAGUAAUAGUUACCUACCUCAGCUAGAGCUUAUUACAAGCUUUGACCGUUUCACUUUGGGACAGUGAGGUUGUAGUUCUAACUCAUUGAGCUCCUUUGUUAAGACCACCUGCCCAUACCAAAUUAACGAAAGGGAAAAAAAGAAAUAACUUAAAAUCCUUUUUUUUUUUUUUGGGUUUGCGUGUGUCGUAAGGGUGUAAUUCACCAUAAAACAUCUUGUAAAAACUGAAGAAACCUUAUAUGUAAUACAUGACCCGAACUUGCUAAGAAUAUUGUCACUAUCAUUGUCCUAUCAAUUCAGUUUGUGAUGUACUAGCUCAAUUGCCUGUUAGAAUGAUUCAAGUAAUGAAUAACUUUCCAUUAGUAUUUGGUAAAAUAGAAUAAAUACCAUCAAAAUAUUCAAAUAUGCUCACAGUUCAUCAUAGUGUGAGAGUUGAUUGCAUUUCUUUCAUUCCAUAAGAAUCUCCACUUUUUAGUCCUACUAUGAUGGGGAAAUUAAAUUAGGUUAUACUUACCAAUCAAAAAAAUCAGAAAAACUAGUUUCAAAUUUAAGGGAGAGGUACAAGAAAAUACUGUUGUCAUAAAAUAGAAUAAAAUAUUAAGAAGCAAAAUCAAAGUUUUGAGGAAAAUGCCAAUUCACUUCCUAUAAAUUUGACAAAUCUUGUUUGAAAAUCUGAAAUGUGUUUAACCUUUUCUAUAUUUUUAAAUAUUUUUUUAAAUAACUUUAAUUUGUAAAUACUUAAUUUUCAAUCAUUCUCCAUAUUUGUAUAAUUAUUUUAAAAACAAUAUUUAGAAAAAAGUUAAAACCACCAAAAACAAUUAAAAUAUAUUCUUGGAAAACACUUUGUUUUUUGUUUUCUGAUUAUCAAACAUGUUAUGACUUUUUUUUUUUUUGUUAAAAAUAGAAAACCAUUUUUGAAAACAACUCCAAACACACCCUAAGGCUCUUUUAGCUUGUUGCCUUGUAUGCAUAAGCAGAAAAAAGGAACAAAAGAUGAGAAACAAGGUGUUCAACUAUAUUUCCUAGUAGUUUCAAAGGUUUGAUGAGAAAUGCUACAUGCUAAAAUGAACCAUAUUACUAGGCAAUUGAAAAGUUUGAGAGAGUGAUACCUCUUGCUUUUUUGUAGUGCAUAUUUCCAAGCAAAGGGAAGAAUAAAUUAGGGAGCAUGCCUGAGUGAUUAAGGUACACAGUAAAAUCAAAUAAGAGGCUUCAUUAGCAUAAUAAGAUGCAAAUUUGGUUUAAAAUCAAACAGAACUCAAGCAAAAUCUUAAUUACCUUGUAUUUAUUAAUGGUGAUGGAAAUAGUAUUCUGGCUUUAAGCAAAAUGAACCACCAGAUGUAAGGCCCCUUGCAUCAUGAAAUUGAAGCAUAUUGAAAACGGAAAAAAGAAAGAAAGAAACAAUGCAACAAGACUUUUAAUAGGUGUAUCAACCAUGUAUCUCUAUGUGAAAUUAUUGCCAUGUGAAGCUGGUGGCAAAUUCGAUUGGGCUUAAAACUCUUUUUGGACCUGAUUUAAAUUUUUUUUUAAAAUUUACAUGGCCUAGAAUGAUGCAUUUAGUACUGCUCUUUCAUGUUUAGGAUAUUUACCUUUGCAGAUGCUAAUAAGCCGCAUCAAUGGCCAUGAAUUUUGCUUUCAUCUACAUCAGUCCCUUUGAUUGCCAUCCUGCAUCUAAAAAGUAAAUUCCAUCAUUAUCAAGAAGCAAAAGCAAUAUUUUGAGUUAGAAAUGGAGAUUGUUUUUUAUAUCAGACUUACAAUUCAAUAGACUAAUAAUCACCUGUGUUUGGAAGAGGAUAGUCCCAAAUACCUUAAAUAGGUUUGUUUGUAAAAAUCUUCCUCUGCACCAUAUCCAACCCAAGAUCUAUAGGCUGACCAACGAAUGUAAUCAUAAGCAGGUUGUUUUUCCAACUCUUUUUGACUGCUUUUCCAUGUUGAUAUGAUUAAAAAGGCAUGGCCCAGUAGCCAUUUUAUUUUAAAAUUAAAAUAGGAAAUAUAAGAUAAAAAAUGAAAAUAGCAUAUGUACCAUGCUUUUCCUAGGCCCUUUCAUCUUCUUUUCACCAUCACCAUAUUAGAGAAUGAACAACCAACACCACAUUCACUUCAGACAUGGAAUCUGCAGGAUGAAACUCAAUAUUCCUUUCUGUUAGCAUAAUAAUGAAAAAGAGUUAUAUGUUUUCAAUGUAAAAGGCAAAAAAAAUAAAAUCAAGAGCAUUUCAUUUUGAAUAUAUAUUCAGAAAUUUUUUUAAUGCAAAUAUAAAUUGUUGCACACAACUGAUGAAUUAGAGAACUAAAUUUCCAAUCAGAUAGAAGGAUGGAUGUGAGCAACAAGAGAAAAGAGCAACUAUCAUCAAUUGGGGUACUUGAUUGACCUUUUUACUGCUGUACAAUGCAAUCUAUCUCCAGAUAUGGGAGGAUAUGAGCAAUUUAGGGCCAUUCUUUUCCUUUGUUCUUCAUGAACCUCCUUUUUAGAAUAGGACAUCUCUCUUGAUUAUGUAAUGUUGCAAGUAUUGAUAGGACUCAGUUGUUGCCAUACAUUUUACGUGGGGUUUCCAGAGUCACACACUGGCUAAGCACAACCCCCUCUGUAACAAGUAUCUGAAGACAAAUAUUUUAAAAGAACUGUUAAUGAUUAAGAUUAAAAAGGGGAAAGGAAAAUAAACAAAGAAAACAUAAAGUACUGUACUCUUUCUGUGUGACUUUUAAGCUUCUUUAAGAAAUAAUAAAAUCAUUUGAAUUAACAAGUGGAACUGAGAUAUGGAACAACAUGAAGAAUAGAACGUUUUAGAGAAAGAAAGUUAUUAGCAAGUAGAAUAUUUGGUGGAAGAUUGCAGAGAAUUGUGGGUAACUGAUUGAAAUUGUUAUUGUUAGACAAUGCCAUCUAUUUCCAUCUAGGGGGCGUAGGCAAUAUUGGGCCAAUCUUUUCAUUUGUUCUAGAAUAGGACACCCAUGAUUACAAGUCUUGCAAGUGACGGUGGCAGCCCUUCCUUUGGCACAAAGGAUAGAGGCUUCUUCAUAUUCUCACAAUCUGAAAUCGCAAGUUAUUUAAGGUUGGUGGUCCAAAAUUCUUUUGGAGAGAACCUCACAUCUGGACAAUUACAUAGACCCAACAUACCAAGAGCUGUGAGAUUUUGCAGCAUAUUGCCUGGAAUUGGCUCUAAUUUCUUGCAAUUCCAAAUGAAAAGCAUCUCAAGAAAGGAGGGAAAGUUGCCUCUUGGAAUGCACUUGAGAGACGAACAUCCCAAUACAUGUAGUUGUUCAAGACGACAAGUGUUGUUGCUGUAAAUUGAAGUGUGGUGCAUAAUUCCCUCAGGUAGAGACUCUAGUUUCUGGCAAUCUAUAAUGAGUAGCUUCUUAAGGGUGGUGGAUAGCUUACCUUUUGGUAAUCUAAUAAGAGAUGGACAAUCUACAAUUUCUAAGCACUCAAAGGCACAUCUGGUGCUCACCAUUCCAUCGGCCAACGUCUCCAAAAGCUCACAAUUUUUCACCAAAAGAAGUCUUAGCAUGGGCAACAUAUUUGUCUCUAGGAAUGGCACAAGUUCUGGCAAUUAUAAAUUACCAAAUCUAUAAGAGAUGUGAGGGUGCAUAGUGCAUUUGGCAGCUUCUCUAAGUUGAAACAUCCUUUCACUUCCAAAUAUUGAAGAUUGCAAGGCAGCCUUUGCUCGUCCAAGGAUACAACCCCAUCACACCCAUCCAUCCAUAAACCACCAAGGUUUUCCAACCCAAAUCCAGGCUUCCUCAAACAUGCCGGCUCAUCACCAAGGUUUACCUUCAACAACUUACUCACAAAGACCUAACUACCACCUCUCAUUAAGGGAUUUUAUCUUCAAUUUAUAUUAUGAUAAUAUAAAUUUGAAUGAGCACAUUUGAAAUUAAUACAAGUGAGGAGAGACAUAAUGAGAAAAAGAACAACCUGGGAUAUAUGCCCUUUCUGUGUAUCCUGAACUGCUUGACAUACCAGAUGCUAGUAGAAAGGUCCUCUCUAGGUCAACAGUAACUACAAUAUCAUGUAAUUAGUCAAAAAGAUGUAAAUUUGAGGGGAAAAAUAUGAGAAAGUUAAAAACAAUCUGAUGAAAUACAAUGGUCAGUUUAGAAGUUUGAGAAAGUUAUACCUCUCCCAUUUUUGCAAUACAUAUUUGCAAAAAGAUGGCAGAAUCCCAAAAAAACCAAGGUGUUAAAUAAAGGAGCAUUCCUGUGUGAUUAAAGUACAGAAAAAAAAUUAAAUAAAAGGGCUUCAUUAACAUAAUAAGAUUCAAAUUUAGACUGGAAUGAAACAGAACUAAAACAAAAUCUUAAAUACCUUUUAACAAUUAAUGGUGAUUGAAUCAGUAUACUGAGCUUUAUACAAAAAGAACCACCAAACAUAAGGCCUUUUGCCCAUCCCUUGGUGGGAAGUGAAGUUGUUGCCCAAAUUUGAUAGGGCCUUAAAACUUGAAUCACAUGUAAAUCCAGAAACUAGAAAAGAAUGGGGCAUUUAGUACAUCUUCUUUCAUGUGUAGGAUAUUUAGUAUUUACCCUUGCAGAUAUGAAUGGCAGGAAAUUCUGUGCAACAUAAAUUCCAUCAUUAUUAGAAAAUGAAAGCAAUAUGUUAGGGUUGAAAAUGGUGAAAAUUAUGUUCCAUCAGAACUUACAAUUCAAUGCAUUAAUACGCACCUUCGUUUUGGAAGAGGGCAAUGCCAAAUAUCAAUAUUAAAUUGUGGUAGGAAGGCCUAACUUCUGAAAAAUUAGGAGAACCCCUGAUUACAUAACAAAAGGGCGACUCAAAUAUUAUAGAGAGAGUAGUAAUUAGCAAGUAGAACCUUUGAUGGAAGAUUACAGAGAAUUAGGAGUACCUUAUUGAAGCUGUUAUUGUUGUACAAUGUCAUUUAUUUCCACGUAGGGGAUGUGGCCAAUCUUGGGCCAAUCUUUUUGUUUGUCCUUGAGACACCUCUUUUCUAGAAUAGGACACUCCCAGAUUUCAAGUAUUGCAAGUGUUGCCCGCCCUUGGGCACAAAGGACCAGAGCUUAGGGCAAUUGUAGAGUUCAAGGCUUUUAAGAGAGAUGAGGCUUUGGAGACUUAUGGAGGCUAUGGAUUUCAAGUUGUAGAGAUUUACCAACCGGAGACAUGUGAUAGAUGUAGGAAGAAGAAGGUGAGAGCUGGGAAGUAAAAAGCAGAUCUGGGAAUGGGCCUUGAAUCAUGAGCUUAUCAAGAGAGGUGAGUGUGUGGAGGCCCCACCCAGAUAGAGGCCACCUCAUAUUCUCACAAUCUGAAAUACAAAGUUCUUCAAGGUUAGGGUUCAAAAAUGCUUCUGGAGAGGACAACACAUCUCGACAAUUACAUAUUUGCAAAACUUGAAGAGAUGUGAGAUUUUGCUGCAUAUUCCCUGGAAUCGACUCCAAUUGCUGGCAGUCCCAAAUGGAAAGGGUCUCAAGUGUCGAGGGAAAGUAACCUCUUGGAAUGGACUUGAGAGAUGGACAUCCCCAUACAUGUAGAUAUUCAAGAUGACAAGUGUUGUUGUUGUCAAUUCCCUCAGGUAGAGACUCUAGCUUCUCACAAUUUAUAAUUAUCAGCUUCUUAAGGGUGGCGGGUAGCUCACCUUUCGGAAAGCCAAUAAGAGAUGGACAAUCUUUAAUUUUCAGGUACUCAAGGGCACAACUAUUUCCAUAUAUUGGGAGUACCUGGUUGAACUUGUUGUAGUUUUAAAAUGUCAUCUAUUUCCAUAUAGGGGAUGUGAGCAAUCUUAGGCUAAUAUUUUCCUUUGUCAUUGAGGCACCUCUCUUUUAGAAUAUGACAUCUCCCCAUUACAACUCUUGCAAGUGUUGGUGGUGGGUCAAUGUGGGUAGCUCACCUUCUAGAAAGCCAAUAAGAGACAUCUUUGAACCCCUAUUAAGACCACCUGCCCAUACCAAAUAAAAAGGGGGAAAAUGAGUAGAAAAAACUCAUAUCAUAUCAAAAACAGAACAAAUUAAAUAAUAAUAAUAAUAAUAAUAAUAAUAAUAAAAUCAUACUUUUUUGUGUCUUAAGGAUGUGAUUCACCAUAAAAUAUCAUGGAAACAUUGAUGAAACUUUAUAUAAUGCAUUACUCCAAAAUCAACGAAGAAUAGUGCAAAAGGUGAUUGAAUUUC